AAAAAAAAAAAAAAAAAAAAACUGAUCCACUUUAAGUGUUACAAUUUUUGUCAAGAUGGCGGGAACAAGUGAAGUUCCAAAUCAUAACAAUGGAAACGCGGAGGUGGUGGCAGCUAUUCUGGAUAUGGCAAAUGCAAUCAGGGAAAGCAAUCGAGGAUUCAAUGUCGAAAGUGAGGCGGAACGAGUGAUGAAAAUUCAUGGAGAGUUUCGCAAGUCCCGACCCCCAGUAUUUAAAGGAGUAUCUGAUCCGAUGGUGGCAGAAGAAUGGAUAAGGCAGAUCAAACGGAGCAUGACCAACCAGAGAAUUCCUGAAGAAUUAAGGGUGUCCAUUGCUUCUACUUAUUUGGAGGGGCAAGCGUAUCACUGGUGGGAAUCGGUUCAGGGUAUGCGGAAUACCGAGGUGAUGACUUGGGAGGAAUUCGAGGAAAUCUUUAUGGAGAAACAUUUCCCUGAAGUACUGCGGGAAGCCAAAGCCAAAGAAUUCAUAUAUCUUCAGCAACGAGACAUGACUGUCGCACAAUAUCAAGCAAAGUUUGAAGAACUUUCCCGUUUUGCACCUUAUAUAAUACCUGAUGAUGCCAAAAGAGCAAAAAGGUUUGAGGACGGUCUCCGAAUUGAAUUAAGGGACAAACUUUCAGUCUUUAAAAUAAGAUGCUAUGCAGAGCUUGUUGAUCGAGCAUAUAUUGCUGCAAGAACUGCUCCGGAGUCUAGAAAAAUAUUGAAUUCUAGGAAUAUGGGCGGAGGACAAUCUAGUAAGCGUCAGAAGUUUAGACCCCCUCAAUAUACUCCUCAGUCAUCAAGGACAAAUGCAAUGACUCGAGCACCAUUGACUUGUCAUUAUUGUCAUCAGCCUGGCCAUUUGCGGCGGAAUUGCCCUCAACUACAAACUUAUCAAGUCACACAAAUGCCUCAACCACCAUACCGUGCUCCGUAUCAACCUCAACAAAAUCAGCGGGGACCAACCAUGAAUCAGCAGCCACAACGUCCACAGGGACCAUUCACUCAGGGAAAGCCUAUGUCUGAUGCUGGUGUGAAACGUUCUGCACAAGUUACUACAGGACGUGUAUAUGCUAUAAAUAAAGUGGAGGAACCGAUCGAAACUGAGAUGGUGGAAGGUAUCUUUCCAGUAUUUAACUCUUGGGCAAAAAUUUUAUUUGAUUGUGGUGCUUCUCAUUCAUUUAUGUCUAAAUCAUUUGCAUCCAUUCUUGGAAUCAACCUUGAGUUCGCAAACAGAAUCCUAAGAAUUGGAUCGCCAUUGGGUUGUGGUAGGGAAAUUGAUAAAAUAUGUCGAUCUUGCCCUAUAGAGUUAGCUGACCGAAAAAUAUGUUGUGACUUAAUGAUAAUGUCUAUGUCUGAAUAUGAUAUCAUUCUUGGGAUGGAUUGGCUCAUUCCGCAUCAAGCUCUUAUUGAUUGUGCAAGGAAAAUGGUGACCGUAAUUUCCUCUGAGGGAGAGAGACUUAAGGUCUAUGGAAACGUAGACAAUCACUAUCCCAGAUUAACUUUAAAAACAAGAGACAAAGACUACUCUAGCUGGAUUGCUAACUGGUAGCUGAGAAGAUUGAGAAGCCAAUAGUUGACAUCCCAGUAAUAGUAACGGAAUAUCAAGAUGUAUUUCCCGAAGAUCUUCCUGGUUUACCUCCACAAAGAGAAAUUGAUUUCACUAUUGAGGUAUAUCCAGGCACUUCACCUAUUUCCAUAGCUCCAUAUCGCAUGGCACCGGCGGAAUUAAAGGAACUAAAGGCUCAACUUCAGGAUCUAUUGAAGAGAGGUUUUAUACGUCCAAGCACAUCUCCUUGGGGAGCACCAGUGCUGUUUGUAAAAAAGAAAGAUUGCACCCUUCGACUGUGUGUUGACUAUCGUAAGUUGAACCAGGUGACAAUUAAGAACAAAUAUCCGUUACCCAGAAUUGAUGAUUUAUUUGAUCAACUUAGAGGAUCAUGUAUUUUCUCUAUGAUAGACUUCGAUCUGGGUACCAUCAACUUCGAAUUAAGCUGGAGGAUAUCCCCAAGACUGCAUUCAGAACUCGAUAUGGACAUUUUGAGUUUUUAGUCAUGCCUUUCAGUUUAACAAACGCCCCAGCAGCCUUCAUGGAUCUAAUGAAUCGAGUUUUUCAACCUUAUUUGGAUCAAUUUGUUAUCGUAUUCAUUGAUGAUAUUCUGAUUUACUCCACUUCUCAAGAGGAACAUGAGCAACAUUUGCGCCUCGUUUUGCAGACAUUAAGAGAACAUAAAUUGUAUGCAAAGUUCAGCAAAUGUGAGUUUUGGCUUACCAAAGUAAAAUUUUUGGGGCAUACAAUCUCUAAGGAAGGUAUAGCUGUUGAUUCUUCUAAAGUGGAGGCAAUAUUGAAUUGGCGGCAACCCAAGACUGUCACAGAGAUACGUAGUUUUCUGGGAUUGGCCGGUUAUUACAGGAGGUUCAUCAAGGAUUUCUCACGUUUGGCAGCACCGAUGACAAAGCUAACCCGAAAAGGGGUGAAGUUUGAGUGGACAUAUGAAUGUGAAGAAUCUUUCCAAGAAUUGAAAACUCGAUUGACCACGGCUCCAGUACUUAUCAUUCCUGAAAGAGGUGUGGGUUAUGUGGUGUACACUGAUGCUUCAUUGCAAGGUUUGGGAGGAGUUCUUAUGCAACUCGAUAAGGUUGUAGCUUACACCUCAAGACAACUGAAGACUCAUGAAAAGAACUAUUCCACUCAUGACUUGGAAUUGGCUGCAAUUAUUCAUGCUCUGAAAGUUUGGCGACACUAUUUGUAUGGUGAAAGGUUCGAAUUAUAUUCUGAUCACACAACAACAACAACAACAAAGCCUUUUCCCACUAAGUGGGGUCGGCUAUAUGAAUCCUAGAACGCCAUUGCGCUCGGUUUUGUGUCAUGUCAUCCGUUAGAUCCAAGUACUCUAAGUCUUUUCUUAGAGUCUCUUCCAAAGUUUUCCUAGGUCUUCCUCUACCCCUUCGGCCCUGAACCUCUGUCCCGUAGUCACAUCUUCGAACCGGAGUGUCAGUCGGCCUUCUUUGCACAUGUCCAAAUCACCGGAGCCGAUUUUCUCUCAUCUUUCCUACAAUUUCGGCUACUCCUACUUUACCUCGGAUAUCCUCAUUCCCAAUCUUAUCCUUUCUCGUGUGCCCACACAUCCCACGAAGCAUCCUCAUCUCCGCUACACCCAUUUUGUGUACGUGUUGAUGCUUCACCGCCCAACAUUCUGUGCCAUACAACAUCGCUGGCCUUAUUGCCAUCCUAUAAAAUUUUCCCUUGAGCUUCAGUGGCCUACGACGGUCACACAACACGCCGGAUGCGCUCUUACACUUCAUCCAUCCAGCUCGUAUUCUAUGGUUGAGAUUUCCAUCUAAUUCUCCGUUCUCUUGCAAGAUAGAUCCUAGGUAGCGAAAACGGUCGCUUUUUGUGAUCUUCGCUAGAUUGCUCCGGUCAUUAGUGUGGAUAAGUAUAUAAAUGGAUAGAGAUAGGAAAGCAAACACAAGAUGUACGUGGUUCACCCAGAUUGGCUACGUCCACGGAAUAGAAAAGUUCUCAUUAAUUGUGAAGGGUUUACACAAGUACAUAGGUUCAAGCUCUCCUUUAGUGAGUACAAGUGAAUGAUUUAGUACAAAUGACAUUAGGAAAUAUUGUGGGAGAAUGAUCUCGUAAUCACGAAAGUUCUAAGUAUCGGAGUGUGGUGUCGUCUUGACUUGCCUUAUCUGUCUCAUAGGUAGAUGUGGCAUCUUCUCUGGAAGUACUUUUCCUCCAUCCAGGGGUGGUAUCUUUAACUGGUGGAGAUGCACAAGGUAAUGUAUCAAUUUCACUUGAAACUUACUUGUAGUUUCAGGCUUGGUCAAGCGCGAUACAAACCAUGUAGUAGGAGUCCCCCAAGUCGCCGAGCUAGGGGGUCUGCUGAAAGAGGUGACAGACAAGGUAAGCAAUCAGAGCUCCGACUGAUUGUUCACCUUCUCCCCAUCUUGCAACAGGCAUGAAGGAUAAAGAGAAGAAAAAUGAGAAGAGAUGAUAUGAGAUACUUUUGCUUUUGAAGAAGUAACUUUCCACAGGCUUAUUCUUGAACUGAGCUGGAGGGUUUUCUGGUUUCCUCCAGAGUAUAAGGCCGACUGAAGAAUUUGAGGGUCAAAACAAGUCCAUCAAAUCUAGAGUACGUUCCACCCUGCUGAUAUGGGAUACUUUUGCUUUUGACAGAGUAAUGGAUGUAUCGGCACGUGUGCUGUUACGCUUGUCUCCACAUGCUUCCUUGUAUCCUUCGCACUUGCCCUAUCUGUUCCUCAAGCAGAUGCGGAAUCUUCCUUGGAAACAUAAGAUGUUGAAGAUGAGUACUCGAGAGCAAUGCCAGGUAAGUAAUCAGGUAAGGGGUUCCAGGCAGUCAGUUCCUGGCUGGAAGCUUGAUUCCAAGUGUUGACUGAUUGCUCUCUUUCUCCUUGUCUUGCAGGUAAAAACAAGGCCAAAGGAAAAGACAGGGAAAAAGCAUGAUAUGGGAUACUCUUGCUUUUAAACCCUGAUGAUAUGAGAUAUUCUUGCUCUAGUAUAGCUUGUUUGCAGAGGUAUUAUCGGGGGGAAAGAAAGCUGAAUAUUUCGAAAGGCUUCGUUGGGAGUGCCCUCUCAGAUAUGAUGAAGGGUUGAGCAUUUUUUGCAGGUCUGCCUGUCCGUUGGGGAUGGAGGUUGACAUAUAUAGGCGUCUCCCUAACAACAAGUAGUAAUGCUAUUCCUUUACCCUGCUUGGUCAUAGCACGGUAGUGGGAGCUGUCAGUUUCACAUGUUUUAACUCUGUCAGAGCACUUUGAAAAAGUGGUCUGUGGUAUCUGGCUCUCGAGAUUCGGAGAACGAUGCCUCUUCGAUUUUUGAGAAAGCAAUCAUGCUGGGGGUCUGGCUCUCGAGAUUCGGAGAGCAGUGUCUCUUCGAUUUUUUAGGAAGUAAUCAUGUUGGGAGUCUGGCUCUCGAGAUUCGGAGGGCGGUGCCUCUUCGAUUUUGGAGCAAGCAAUCUUGUGGGGAGUGUUGUCUCGAAUUUGAGUAAAGGUUGGGCAUGUUUGCUAGUCUACCUUGCCACGAAGCACAAAGGUUGACACACAGGGCCUUUCCAAUUAUCCAGCAAUGGUACUGUUCCUUUACCCUCUCUUCGAUUUUGAGAAAGUAGUCAUGUUGGGAGUCUGGCUCUCGAGAUUCGGAGGGACGGUGCCUCUUCGAUUUUGGAGCAAGCAAUCUUGUUGGGAGUGUUUUCUCGAAUGUGAGUAAAGGUUGGGCAUGUUUGCUAGUCUACCUUGCCACGAAGCACAGAGGUUGACACACAGGGACUUUCCAAUUAUCCAGCAGUGGUACUGUUCCUUUACCCUUGUGGGUAAUAAUAUGGUAGCUAGACCUUCAAAAUUUAUGUGUCUAAACUUUGUUAGUGCUGUUUCUUUGCUAUUCUUUUACCUUUCUUGGUCAGAGCGAUUGUAGUGGGAGCUGCAAGCUUCACGUGCUCAACUUUGGCAGAGAACUUUGACAAAGUUAUCUGUGGUACCCAUGAGCUAUUGUUGCGUGUGGGAAGUGGGUAAUUGAACAGUAAGAUUCAUGUGCUUUCUACUUCACCAGAAAUCUUCGACAGAAUGCCCAUAAUUUCUGCAAAGCUGAGUGUGCGUGUGACAGGUGCUGACAAGGCUAGAAAAGUAGGUGCCUCUUCGAUUUCUGAGAUCGGCCCUCGUGGUCUCUGAGCAGCCCAGCUUUUGAGAAAGCGAGCGCCUCUUCGAUUGAUUCGGAGAACGAUGCCUCAUCGAUUUUUUGAGAAAACAAUCAUGCUGGGGGUUUGGCUCUCGAAGAUUCGGGGAGCAGUGUCUCUUCGAUUUUUGAGAAAGUAAUCAUGUUGGGAGUCUGGCUCUCGAGAUUCGGAAGGCGAUGCCUCUUCGAUUUUGGAGCAAGCAAUCUUGUUGGGAGUGUUUUCUCGAAUGUGAGUAAAGGUUGGGCAUGUUUGCUAGUCUACCUUGCCACGAAGCACAGAGGUUGACACACAGGGACUUUCCAAUUAUCCAGCAAUGGUACUGUUCCUUUACCCUCUCUUCGAUUUUUAAUAAAGUAGUCAUGUUGGGAGUCUGGCUCUCGAGAUUCGGAGGACGGUGCCUCUUCGAUUUUGGAGCAAGCAAUCUUAUUGGGAGUGUUUUCUCGAAUGUGAGUAAAGAUUGGGCAUGUUUGCUAGUCUACCUUGCCACGAAGCACAGAGGUUGACACACAGGGACUUUCCAAUUAUCCAGCAGUGGUACUGUUCCUUUACCCUUGUGGGUAAUAAUAUGGUAGCUAGACCUUCAAAAUUUAUGGGUCUAAACUUUGUUAGUGCUGUUUCUUUGCUAUUCUUUUACCCUUCUUGGUCAGAGCGAUGUAGUGGGAGCUGCAAGCUUCACGUGCUCAACUUUGGCAGAGAACUUUGGCAAAGUUAUCUGUGGUACCCAUGAGCUAUUGUUGCGUGUGGGAAGUGGGUGAUUGAACAGUAAGAUUCAUGUGUUUUCUAUUUCCCCAGAAGUCUUCGACAGAAUGCCCAUAAUUUCCGCAAAGCUGAGUGUGCGUGUGUGACAGGUGCUGACAAGGCUGGAAAAAUAGGUGCCUCUUCGAUUUCUGAGAUCGGCCCUCGUGGUCUCUAGGGAGCCCAGCUUUUGAGAAAGCGAGCGCCUCUUCGAUUUCUGAGAUCGGCCUUCGUGGUCUUUGAGCAGCCCAACUUUUGAGAAAGCAAAAGCCUCUUCGAUUUCUGAGAUCAACCCUCGUGAUCUCUAAGCAGCUCAGCUUUUGAGAAAGCAAACGCCUCUUCGAUUUCUGAGCAGGCGCCUCUUCGAUUUCUGAAGCUCCGUCGAGUGUAGAUUUUUAUAGGGGCUGGCAUUAAGUUCUAAAGCACACUUGAAUCUCCACCAGUAGAAGCUUCAUUCUUGCACUUCUAAGAUCUUGAUUUGUCCGACCUCUUCUCUCUUCAACACACCUUUGAAAAUGUCUGGCCCCUCCGACCGUCGUUUUGACUUGAACCUUGUUGAAGAGGCAGCCCCGCCUUCUCCAGACAACAUAUGGCGCCCAUCCUUCGUCUCCCCUACUGGUCCUCUUACCGUUGGGGAUUCCGUGAUGAAGAAUGAUAUGACCGCUGCGGUGGUGGCCAGGAACCUUCUCACUCCCAAAGAUAACAGACUACUUUCCAAACGGUCUGAUGAGUUAGCUGUUAAGGAUUCGAUGGCUCUCAGUGUUCAGUGUGCAGGUUCUGUGUCUAAUAUGGCCCAACGCCUAUUUGCUCGAACCCGCCAAGUUGAAUCAUUGGCGGCUGAAGUGAUGAGUCUCAAACAGGAGAUUAAAGGGCUCAAGCAUGAGAAUAAACAGUUGCACCGGCUCGCACAUGACUAUGCUACAAACAUGAAGAGGAAGCUUGACCAGAUGAAGGAAACUGAUGGUCAGGUUUUACUUGAUCAUCAGAGAUUUGUGGGUUUGUUCCAAAGGCAUUUAUUGCCUUCGUCUUCUGGGGCUGUACCGCGUAAUGAAGCUCCAAAUGAUCAACCUCUGAUGCCUCCUCCUUCUAGGGUUCUGUCCAGUACUGAGGCUCCAAAUGAUCCCCCUCCGGUGCCUUCUCUUUCUGGGGCUCUACCGACUGCUGAGACUUCUCCUAAGCAACCUUUGUGAAGGCUCCUCUUGUGUGUUUUAUUUUGACUCAUGUAUAUGUACAUAUUUGUAGCUUAUCGGGGAUAUCAAUAAAUAAGCUUUCCUUCAUUUCAACGUAUUGUGUUAAAUACACCAAAGCCUUCUUCGCUAAGUUCUUUGAAUUUUCUUUUGUUGAAGCUUGUAUGUUGAAGCUUUCUGAGUGGAGCAUGUAGGUUGGGGUAGUGUUCCCUUAAUUUCCCGAGUGAGGAAAACUUCUCGGUUGGAGACUUGGAAAAUCCAAGUCACUGAGUGGGAUCGGCUAUAUGAAUCUUAGAACGCCAUUGUGUUCUGUCCUGUGUCAUGUCCUCCGUUAGAUCCAAGUACUCUAAGUCUUUUCUUAGAGUCUCUUCCAAAGUUUUCCUAGGUCUUCCUCUACCCCUUCGGCCCUGAACCUCUGUCCCAUAGUCGCAUCUUCUAAUCGGAGCGUCAGUAGGCCUUCUUUGCACAUGUCCAAACCACCGUAACCGAUUUUCUCUCAUCUUUCCUUCAAUUUCGGCUACUCCUACUUUACCCCGGAUAUCCUCAUUCCUAAUCUUAUCCUUUCUCGUGUGCCCACACAUCCAACGAAGCAUGGGAGAUGGAUGGAGUAUCUCGAAGAUUAUGACUUUGGAUUGCAUUAUCAUCCAGGAAAGGCAAAUGUUGUGGCAGAUGCUUUAAGCAGAAAAUCUCAAGGGAUGGUGGCUAGUCUAAAACUUCAGAAGUGGAAGAUGAUGGAAUCCAUUAAUGAUUACAACUUAUAUGUUGAAGAGUGGGAUAAGGGAGUUCACUUAUAUAACUUGAAUGUACAACCCACUUUAAUAGAGAAAGUCAUCAAAGCACAAGAAAAUGACCCACGGUUAAUCUCAAUCCGAAAUAAGGUGACAGUUGGUAGUGUAUUCGAGAAGUGGACAAUUGACCCAAACAAGGGUGUAAGGUAUUCGGGUAGACUCUAUGUACCUGCAAUUCCGGAAUUACGGAAUGAGAUUCUUCAUGAAGCCCAUUAUUCUGCUUAUACAAUUCAUCCGGGUAGUACCAUGAUGUAUCAUGAUCUUCGUCGUCAAUAUUGGUGGAAGGGUAUGAAGAAUAUAGCGAUCUUUGUCUCAAAGUGUCUUACAUGCCAACAAGUGAAGGCGGAACAUAAGAAACCACCUGGGAUGCUUCAACCACUACCUGUGGCGGAAUGGAAAUGGGACCAUAUCACUAUGGAUUUCGUGACAGAUUUACCACGUUCUCCAAAAGGACAUGAUUCGAAAAUGUGAAAAAAUCUGGAAAUCUGCAGAUUUUCUGCAGAAAAAACUGGUUGUGAACUCAACUUUGGGGCCUGAUUAUAUCCUUCUCUUAAAUCCGUUUUGAGAAACUCAUAGUAGAUUAGAAACUAGGUUUGUUUAGCUUUAAAAUCCAAGUAAUUUCAUCCUUUUCCAUGGAGUUUUGAGGGAUGAAAAUAGGGUCACAAUAUGGGGACUUAAGCUUGGUUUUCACGGGGUUGUGAUGGGUAUAUUCGGCUAAAUCUUUGUUAGGCUGAAAGAGAAUUUUUCAUUCCAGUUUUAUGCUAACUUUUACUUUUAUUUAUGAGAUGUUAGGCCUGGGAGCGACUCCGGACACUUCGGAGGCUUAGAGAGGUAUUAUAGUUAGCUGGACAAGAGGUAGGGGCUCUAUUUCCCGAUGAUAGAUCUAUAUCAUGGUUAAUCUUUGUGAUAUUAGUAAUUAUAUCUAAUACAGUAGUAAUGAAAUGCUUGGGUGAUUUUGAAUCAAUUGAUUGUCAUGGUUGUGUUUAGGGUUAAUGGCUUCUUUUUCGAUGUACUAUAUAUAUUGACUUUGUUAAAUGUUGUUAUGUUUUGAUGAAUGGUUGAGUUAUGUAAAAUUGUUGGACUGACUACGUUGAGAGUUACAAUUAUGUUUGUUAAAUUGAAAUGCUUUUGUUGCAUUACAUGUUACAGAGUUAAGUGUUGGGUUGUGUAAACUUGGUUAAGCAAAGUGUUGAAAACUUAUAUAUGUUCAAGCAUAGGGUGAAGGGCUUGAACGUAUAGUUGGGCGUCGGGGGAAUGGCCCAUGGUAAUGAAACUGAAAUUGCUAAUAAAAUUAGGGGUUAAGGGAGAAAUGGGAGUUAAUUUAUAUUUUAUUGUAUUCGGAACCAAGGGGUAUAAGCAUGAUAUGGGACGUGCAGGUUUGGAUGCCAUAAAUAUAAGUUAGCGGGAUUAGAAGGGAGUGAGUUCAUGUGUUUUUCUUUGUCUUAUUAUUUGUAUUUUUUACCGUAUUGUUUGAGGCUUGAUACUUCGAUUAAUUGUGGUAAAUGAACUUGAAGGACAUAUGGUUCCUACUGAGCAUGAAAUGCUCACACCCUAUUAGCUAUUGCAGGUACCGGUAUGGCAGAACAAGAUGAUGACCUGUCUCUAUAUGAAUAAACAUAUCCUAUGUGUGUUGGUUUCCUAGUUGUACUUUAAAUUAAGUGUUCUAGUAUCUCAAGAGUGUGUUGUAAGAGUUGAACUCUUUAAACUCAUGAUAUAUUAAUUAAACAGGUCUAAGUGAACUUUUAGUUGGCUUUGGUUCCAUCAUACUCUCGUUGUAAUAUUUUAAUUUAUUUUAAAUUCUAUUCACAUCCUAAUUCGAUUAUCAUUCUUAUUUUCGAAUUUGGGGUGUGACAUUGGGAUACCUCGUCCGGGGCACGUUGGAUCCCGAUGCGUUGCAAAAGUUGAUUCACCAAGGUUGUCUAUUGUGCAAAGGCGCUCGUCAACUCUAUGACUUGUCGAGACAAGUGUUGUUCGCCAUUUGGAUUGGAAGAGCUUGGAAGGAAUGUGCCUCCUUGGGCAGUGGAAGGGUGGUAGACUCCGGGUGCGAGAUUUGAGUUGGGAAAUGUCAAAUCCACGAAAAAAUGUGGUGAGAAUGCCCCCGGCUCGAUGGUAGGUCCGAAUGGUUGAAAUAGUCUUGGGCUGACUUGGGUUGCUUGGAAAGCCACGAGAGCAGGCUGGGCCGUGAGAGUGGGCUGCUCGAUUGGAGCUGGCUGGGCCACGGGAGUGGGCUGCUCGUCGAGAACAGGCUGGGUCACGAGAGCAGGUUGGAUCACGAGAGCAGGCUGCUCGGCAGGAACAUGUUGGGUCGUAAGAGUGGGCUGCUCGACGGGAGCAGGCUGGGCCACGGGAGUGGGUUACUCGUCGGGAGUAGGCUGGGCCGCGAGAGCAAGUUGCUUGGCGGGAGCAGGCUGGGCCACGAGAGCAGGUUGCUUGGGGGGAGCAGGCUGCUUAGUAUGUGAUGCAAGCGAAUGCGGGGCUUGGGCCCGGGCCCGUGCAAACUUGGAUGGCACGACUUAGGCCGUGGCCUUGGUGCCGUGAGCCUUGGAUGGCACGGCUCGAGCCGUGAUGAAGGCACCAUGGACCUCGCCACGGGUGGCUACCAAGGUAGCCACCGUGGUGGUUCCCAUGGUGGAAACUCGUGGUGGUGGUGCUGCUCCACUUAUUGUCGCAUUUAGCCUCACGAAUCUCCGCAAUCCCAUUUCUUGAACAUUAGAAUUUUCACUUGUGGAAUUUUCUAAAUUUCUAGCCAUUAUAUUUUGCUUAUACGUUUUAUCAAAGAACCUUUGCAAGUAAAAAAUUCUAAUAAUAAGAACGUAUGAAAAAUAUUCAAAUGGACUAGAAAAUAAAGAAAAAACCUUUUUGUGCGAGAGUCUUCUACGAGUAUGGAUUUCAACUCUCAAUGAAGGCACCAAUUUGUGGAUGCAAAUUUCUUCCUCCUUGAUCUUGGACAAUUUUGCACCUACAAAACAAUUAACACCUUAGGUUAAGACCAAGAGCCUCACGCGCCCACGAUGAAUGGGGGCUUUGGCCGAAGAACCUCUGAUGCCAAAGUUAAAAUUUAGAGAGAAAGAGUGUUUAGAGAAUUUUGGGAUUUUUGCCAAAGUGUUGGAAUUGGCUUUUUGGUGAGAAUGAGAGUAUAUUUAUAGGGAUAGGAGGUGGCUAGGGUUUUUUGGGUUUAAUUUAGGUUUAAUUAGGAGUUACCAAAUAAUUAGCCAAUAACUCCCUAAUUAACUUGGCUAAUUAUUUGUCAUACAAAGGAAAAAAGGUAGAAGGAAAGGCUGACUUCUUUUGGGGAUGAAAGCUAACCGGCCUUUUUGUGGGAGUUAGGGUAAAGUGAAUGGUCUAAAUGCUAAUUAAGGGAAUAAUUAGCUAAUUAACCCAUUAAUUAGCUAUUUAUCAUUAUUUUAGAAGGAAUGUUUUAGGAAUUAUGGAAUAAGUAUAGUAUUUAGCUAAUUGAUUAGCUAAAUAAUGAAAUAGGAAAUAUAUGAAUAAAUUAGGUUUUAAGUUGAUACCUAUUUUGGUCACUUUUGACUUGGUUGAGGGAUAAUUGCCCAUUGCUUGUGCGUAGGAAUCAUGGUAUGCCCCAAGGGUAGUUUUGUCUUCUUUUGUCAAAAAUCCACGUAUCGCCUUGUGAAUAUUUUUGGCUCCACAUAAGCGACUCAAGUAAGGUCGUUAUCCACCACGAUUGAAAUAAAAUAACAAAAAGUACAAUAAUUGAAAUUGCGUUUUGUGAAACUAGGCAGCAAAGAGAAAACAAACUAAUUUUAGAAAAACAAAUGUAAAAGGCAUUAGUAUUCAGCCCUCGCCAUUAACGAUCCUAUGCAAUUCUACCAAUCACUUAUGAAUUACACAUAUAUGCUUUGAAGGUUAAAUUUUUCUAAUGCAUAUUCUCCUCGUGAUAUUCAAGUAUGAGCGUAUAUCUAAUAUACAAUUUUAUGUGAUAUUCAUAUUAAAUAUAAACAUGCAAGACUCAUUAGGUUUUGUGAAAACCUUUUGAAAAAUCAUGCAACCCUUAAGAAAGUAAUAUUCGCAUUAAGUGAAACUACAAUUAUCAAUCACAAAAACGUAAUAAUCAUGACCACUAUUUCUUUUUCGGAACACAAAAUUCAUCUUCCUGUAGAAACUUGUUCUCGUAAACAAAUCAUAUAUCCAUAAGUUGUCUCAUCUUCUCUACCAUAUUUAGUUUAAGAAAUAGUCAGUUGUGUUCAAUUUCAGAAAUGUUGUCUGUGCUCAGUUUCAGAGAUAGUGUAGUACUCGUGUUCAAUUUCAAAAAUAAUGUAGUACUCGUAUUUAGUUUCAGAAAUAAUUAGUUUUCGGUUUUCAAAAAUGUUGUUCAGUUUCAAAAAUAGUGUAAUACCUUUAGUUUCAAAAUAGUGUAGUACCAUUCAGUUUCAAAAAAUAGUGUAGUAUAGUUCAAUUUCAAAAAUAAUGUGUGUGAUUAACGUGCGGGGUCGUGCGCAUUAAUUUUUUAUUUAUUUUUAUUAUAUUAAAGUUUUGUCAUUUUUCUUUAAACUUUAAGUCAUUUUCAUUAAAGUUUAAGCCUUGAGGAAUUUUGGACUAGGAAUGAUAGCUGUUUUGGGGUGAUAAAUGAGGCUUGGGAUACACCUGUCUUCAGCAUUCCUAUGUUCCAGGUUGCACAAAAAAUUAAAACUACACGGAUAACUCUGAUAAAAUGGCAGUACGUGGAGUUCAAGUCCGGCAAGGUGGAGAUCUCUUAGACUCGAGCCAAACUGGGUGCAAUCCUUGGCCUCCCUCUAACUAGUUCGUAUUUGGCGGAUCGUGAUUUGCUCGGGCAGAGGCUAGAAACCCUGCAAGGAAAGGAAGAAUGUUACUGGCAUCAACGCUUUCGAGUGUUGUGGAUGAAGGAUGGAGACCAGAACACCAGUUUUUUUCUACCAGAGGACAAAUAGUCGACGAUCAAAUAACUGCAUCUUGAGAAUUAAGUACUCUUGGGGGCAUUGGCAAGAUACGGAUGUGGGUGUUAAGGGGUGGUUUUGGACUAUUUUUUAGUUAUAAAGCAAAUCAACUUUACUCGGGUUUGCCUUAUCCUGAAAGUGAAAGUAUCGACUGAGAUGGCCUAACUACGACCAAUAAGCUUGUAUAAUGUUAUCUUUAAGAUUAUGUCCAAGGUUAUGGCAAACUGCCUUAACUUAUUCUUCCUAGCAUUAUCUCGCCUCAGCAAUCGACUUUUGUACCGAGACUUAACAUAUCAGAUAACUCAAUCAUUGCAUCAGAAGUGGCCAACUUACUUUUGGAACGUAGGCGGGGGAAAAAGGGAUUGCUCUCGCUCAAAUUAGACAUGAGUAAGGCCUAUGACUGUAUUGAAUAGUCGUAUUUGAAGCGGGUACUGACUAAAUUGGGCUUUCUUAUUGUCUGGACCAAUCUGGUGAUGACUCUGGUUUCCAUUGUAUCGUUCUCUUUUCUGGUCAAUGGGCAUCCCAAGGGUUAUAUUUUGCCAUCUUGGGGCAUAAGGCAGAUCGACCCGUUGUGACCCUACCUAUUCCUUCUAUGUGCUGAAGGAUUCUCAACCACUAUUACGGCUAAGGAAUGGACAGGUCUUAUCAGAGGAAUAUCAAUUGGCAAUAGGGCCCCGAAGGUGAACCACCUCUUUUUUUUCCGACGAUAAUUUCAUCUUCACACGUGCCUCUAUGACUGAUUGUAACCAGAUUUCUAAUAUCCUAUCUACCUAUGAACGGGCCUCGAGACAGAAAGUCAACCUCCACAAAAAGUGAGGUGUGUUUUAAUCAGAAUGUCUGCAGCACUAAUAGGGCGCGCCUGGCUUCUACCCUUGGUGUGAAAGCUAUGAUCUUCCAUGAAAAGUACUUGGGGCAGCUUACAUUGGUUGGUCGAAACCGAGGACUUUAUUUUGGUUAUAUUAAAGAUCACUUAUGGAAAUGCCUCCCAGGCUAGAAGGGCCGUUUGUUGAGUGUAGUAGGCAAGGAUUUGCUGGUAAAAUCGGUGGCCCAGUCUAUUCCCCUAUAUCUCAUGAGCACCUUUCUAUUGCCUAAAUAAUUUUGUGACUAACUGAACAACUUAAUCGCGGCUUUCUGGUGGAAUAGGUCAGGUGGAGAGAAAAAAAUCCACUGGCUUUCCUGGGACAAACUUUGCCAACCCAAGUCCGAAAGUGGUUUGGGAUUUCGUAAUUUUCGUGCUUUUAACUUAGCGCUUCUCACUAAGCAAGUUUGGCGCCUAAUUUUCGAGGCGGAUUCUUUAGUGGCUAAAAUCCUCAAGGAAAACUACUACCCCUACAUGUACGAUUUUGGAGGCUGAGCUUAAGCCAAAUUGUUCAUUUGUUUAGCGUAGUAUCUAUGCCGCGAGAGGUGUUAUUAACCGCGGGGCAAAAUGGCUUGUCGGCUCCGGAUUAAAGGUGCGAAUUUAGGACAAUCCAUGGAUCCUUCUACCUCACUCAUACAGGCCAUUUUCCCCGAAGUUGAUGGGGAUCACUCUGUCUUUAGUGUCGAACUUGAUUAUCCCGGCUUCGUGGAAUUGGGAUCACGACCUGCUUGUUGCCACUUUCUCGACCACUAAGGUGAAUGUAAUCAAGUCUAUCUUCAUGAGCAUUUACAACGGUGAAGACUGUCUUUCAUGGCACUUUGACUCUGAGGGAAGAUUUUCUGUUAAAUUGGCUUACCAUGUGGCUUGGGAAUGACUCAUAUCCUCUGUACAACGUCAACAUGGAUCUUCUCGGGGUCUACCUCUUCUCCUCUUAGGACUACUUUGUGGAAGGUCAAUGUUCCCCCAAAGGUCCGAAUGAUGUUCUGGAGAUUGUGUAGAGAUAUCGUUCCUACCAAAUCCAACCUAUCUUCAAAACGAAUCCCGAACAAUAUGUUGUGUACUCUCUGCAAUGCCUUUGGUGAGACCACAUCCCACAUUAUCUGAGAUUGCCAUUUUGCUCGUUGUGCAUGGCUUUCCUCGGUUCUUGCUCCCCUCCAUCGUGGACGUCACUCCCUUUCCUUUUAUAACUGGGCUUCGGAUUUGGCUACCUCUCUCCCACAUGACAAGUUUGAAUUAUUCAUGGUCAUCUGCUGAGCAAUUUAGAAUUGCAUAAAUAUGAAGCUAUGGGAACGCAGGUGCAACUCACCGGAAGUGGCGAUCUCUCGUUCAACAACAUGGUGGCAGGACUUUGUUCGAGUGAAUGUGAAUCAUCCCUCCCUCGAUGCUGCAAGUUCAUCCCCCUCCUAAUAGAUCACCCAUCCCCGGUCAGGACGCCUGAAACUCAACUUUGAUGGGGCUUGGAAUUGGGACAGCUUGAUUUGAGGUAUUGGGAUCAUUGUUCGUGAUAAGAAUGGCAACUUUGUGGUUGCUCUCAGUAAGAACUACCCCAACGUUUUAUCCUCCCUGCAAACAGAGGCUAUUGCAGUUAGAAAGUGCAUGGUCUGGGCGACGAACAGGGGUUUACGUAAUUUAUUAAUUGAAGGUGAUUCUCUUCAGAUUAUUGGAGUGUUGCGUAAUCCCUCGACUGAUCUGUCACCUCUAGGGUAGAUUAUCGAGGACACUAAGACUUUGCUCCCUUCAAUCACUGAAGAUCUUUGUACCCACAUCCGUCAUCAGGCCAACAGUGUGUCACAUCAACUAGCUCCCUACAGUUUGUCUUUAGGUAGCGUGUUGGAAUGGCUAUCAUCUCCCUCUCCCUUUAUACUGGAUCUUCUUGUAGAGGAAAGUUUGUAAAGGGGUGUAUGUGAUGUUUUGUCCCUAUUUAAUGUCUUGAUGUACUCUGUAUUUCUAGGUUUGAGGUUCUUCUUUGAAACCUCUGCCAGCUAUCUAAUACACUAUCGAUUUCCAUAAAUAAAAAUAAAUAAAAAGCCUUUUCAUUAUAUAAAGUCAUAAGAUGGUUUUUGGCUAAAAUAAACUUAGCCCAAUCCCUUUUUAUUAAAACUCCCAUUUUUAAUGGGUUUUUGAACACCUUGCAAAAGAUUAGAAUUGAAAAAAAAAUAAAAAAAAACUGGUACUAGAUUACAUAUUCAAUUUAAUCCCUCAAGUGUACUUUUAUUAAAAUUUAUAUUUUAUUUUUGUUAUUUAAUGUCUCCACAUUAAAAUUUUAAUUUUAUUAAUAUGCACAUAUUAGUUCUUUCAAUUAUAAAUGAACAUAAAUGAGAAAAUAUUAAAAGAAAUUAGAGACACAUAAAUAUGUAAAUACAUAAGUGUACCGAAAUGUUUGUAUCAACAUAUUUUAUUAUGAACCUAAAUAUAUGUAUCGAAAUGUAUUAUAUUGAAUUAAUGUAUUUAAAUGUCAAUACCGAAAUAUUUGUACCAAAAUGUAUUAUAUUGAAUUAAUGUACCGAAAAGUGUUAUAUUGAAUUAAUGUACCUAUAUAUUUGUAUCAAUUGAUAUACUGAAAUAUAUCAAAUGAAUUAAUGUACCUAAUUGAAGAUUAUACAAAUUGUAUAUUCCUAUAUUAUAUAUAUAAAAAAAUUAGUUUACCCAAAUGCAGACAUCAAAAAAUAUUAUGAUGAAUGAAAUGAAUUUGAAAAUGAAAUGUAAUUAAUACAUUAAAAAUAGGAAGAAAUAAAGAAAUAAAACAUCAAAAUAUAAUAAAUAAGAUGAUUAAAUGUAUCAGGGACUAAGCUUACACAAUGUUAUAGUCUAAAACUCAAUUUUAUUGCUCUUUAUUAUUUAAGACCAACUCCAAUCCUUGGAGUAAAUCCUAAAUUUUCCAUUCUAUUCCCCUCCCAUUUCUCUCCAACCCUUGUUCUAAAAUUGGGUUAAGUGUUAAAACCUUAAAAACUCCCCCGAAGAUUUAGCCUAAAAUUAGUGGUAAAGCCCACAUGUGAGAGUGGAACAAGGGAAGUGGACUAGACUCGUCCAGUCCAGACGUGUGCACGGCCCGCACUCGCUAGGCUGCUCAGCUUUCUUGGCCCACCCACAUGGGCUUGUCUUUUGGUUGUCUGAUGGAAGUGAUGAGCCUAAUGGCUCUUUAUGUGAUCAUGUGGCCAUAAUCAAAUAGGCCAUUGGUUGAUCCAACGGUCCACAUUCAAACCUUUUUUUUUUAGUUUUAUAUUUAUAUAUUUAUUAAAUCCAACGACUAAGGUCGAAUAUAAUCAAAUCUAACGGUAAAAAAAAUAAAAUCCAACGGCUAAAAUAAUUUAAAAAAAAAUUAUUUAACUCAAAUUCACCCAAAUUUAAAUCCCACAUUCAAACUCUUCCAUAGUGUUUCAUGAGUUUCAUGUGUCGAUUUAGUGAUUUUUCAAUAUUUCUCGGAAUUUAAAUAUUUUUAGGUUAAAAUGUUGAUAAAAUUAAUUUAGGAUAGUCUACAUAAUUUUUUUUUAAAAAGUUAAUUAAAAAAAAUUAGCCUAAAUACAUUCUUUAAUAAUCUGGGGCUAAAAUUUUAAGCCAAAAAGGUUGGAGUUGAAAAGCUGUUUCUAGGUUUAAACCUAAAUUUUCUGGGCUAAAAAGUUUAGGUUUUACUCCAAGGGUUGGAGAUGGUCUAAUAAUAUUACAAAGAUAGGGGACAUGGAGGUCGUUCUAUCGGGGAGUUAACCAUUUAUAGUCACUUUGAGUGAGAAGAAAGUAGUCUACUUUGUUGUUGAUGACUAAACUCAGGGCCUUGGUUCUUUUUUACCUUCGAGUUUAGAAAGUAUGAUAUUAUACUGAUGAUCUGAUGAUCAAGCCUUAUGUGUAACUCGACUUACCUAAUCCUUUAUCUUCAUUUUUCUUUUUUCUUUUUUUUAUAUAAAAAAAAUCCCAGUUUUCAUAUAUUGGAACAAAACCAAAAUUAAUUAAACCAACACAGCAUACCUCUCAGUCUACGAUUUCAAUCAAAACAAAAUAGCGGAAGCAAAUAUAAUAAUUGAAAUCACAAAUAUAUAAAAAAAGAAACAAAAGCACGAAUCUUUGAAAAAAAAAAAACAGCAUAAAGUAAAUUUAAUUCUUUCAAAACUCCAACUAUCAUAUUCACGCGAUAUUAACAAAAAUUGAAUAAACUCACAAAACCGAAUUCACAAGUCAGGAUGUUGAACUCCAUGAUUUCCGCAAUAUAAUAAAGCGGAUCAUAAACAAUAAUAGGUCAACUAAUCUGUCAAUUACAUGACAAGUCCAUUAUCAUCCGUUAAAAACAUAUGUAGAAGCCAACAAAACAUCCACGUUUGCCCAAAAAAUAUUAAUUUGCACAUGCCUUUAAAAUAUUUAGAGUGAACUGUCAAUUUAAUUCCUAAAUUAUCAUCUGAUUGAAAUUUAAGCUCCUAAACUAUUUUUUCAAAAAAAUCAAUCAAUGAAUUAUAAAAAUUUAUCAAUUACAUCCAUAAUAUUAGACUACCAUAUUCAAUUUUCCGUCAAUUUACGUCAUAUUACUUGCAUAUGAUACACAUUAGAGGAUAGAUUGAUAAUUUUUCAUAAAGAAAUAGUGUAUGGAGUUAACUUUGGAGGGUUAAUUAAAUGUUAAAUUCACAACCUAUAUGAAAAGUCAAGGGUUUGUAGACGAGAAAAUGAUGGUAUUACACUCUAAAGUAAGUCAAGGGACUUAAGUUGACGAAAAAUUAGAUAAAAUAGCUUUGAAUAUAAUAGUAGGGAUGAAAUUAGCAAUUUUUAAUGAAUUUAAAGACUUAUUUUACCAGAAAAAAUAAUAUAGAGACCUAAUUUUUAUUAAGAUGAUAAUUCAGAGACUAUAUCGGCACUUCACCCAAAUAUUUAAUUUGUUCAUAAUUAGUAUUACCGUAUUUGACAUAUGCAACGAUUCCAACCGAAAUUAAUUUCAUAUAUAUUCACAAGGCAAAAGCCAAAAUGACAUCAUGUAUGUGGAAAAAUUUAGGGUAAAUCUCAGUUUACUACCCUCAAGUUUUGUGGUUUUCAACAUUUGGUACAUGAAAUUUUUUUCGUCCCAGAGUCAUACCUAAAAUGUUAAUUUUAUGACAGUCUCAUACAUCUGUUAGUUUGGCUGUUAAGUCUCCCGUUAACUAAUGACGCGGCAUACAUGUAAACAAUGACUGGGCGCCAUGUGUCAAUAUGGCCUACAUGGAUAUUUUUUUUUAAAAUUAAAACUUAAACAUUAAACAUUACAAAUUUUCAAAACCAAAAACUAGGGGUGAGUUCAAAAAACCGAAAACUGAACCGAAGCUGAAAAAAAUUGAAUCGAACCAAAUCUAGUUUGGUUCGGUUUGGUUUCUAGGGUUUGGAAACCAAACAAAAUCGAACCGAACCGAAGUUUUAUAAUUAAUUAUAAAUUAAUAUUUUUAUUAGUAAAACGAUGUCGUUCUCCUUUUAGCCUGAAAGGUAACCCUUACCCUUCCCUAUGUACUCUGUAGUCUAACCCUUAUCCUUCCCAAGUUCCUAGUUCCCAUUUUAGAAAGCAUCAAUCUUAUUUGUUUAACUUAAGGCUUCAACACCAUUACAAUUAACAUGUACAUGAAUGUAUAAGCACUUUUGCUACUGCAAUGUAAAUUUAUGAGGCAAGAAUAAAUCCGUGCACAAGAGAAGGGAAUCAGGUUUGUCUCUCAAGUUGAACAAGAAAACUCUUAUACAGGAAUGUCUAAGGUGCCAAAUUAAGGUCCUGGUCCGUAAGCAUUCUUAAAAAAGAAAUAAAUCAACAACUCUUAUACAAGAACAAGUUUCUCAACCGUUUGAUGUUAUGUUUAUUUUAGGAGUGGAAGACUUGAAGUGUGAUUGUGUUGGAGAUGUUAAAAUUUUAAAUUUCAAUUUUUUGAAAAAAAAAAGAAGAAAAAAACUGAACCAUUUUGAACCAAACCGAACCCUACCUAAGACCUAAAAAAGAACCCCAACAUCGUCCUCUGUGAUGAGGAUGGUGAAGCACCCAACAUCAUCCAGCUCUAAAAAGGUUAUGGUGAGCAAGUUCAAGAUCUAUUUCGCAAUAGAUCUGGUCCGCGACAGCGAGCUGUUUCCAACAGCUCAUCUCUGCCAUCGAUACCGAGAUCUGAAGACGUCGCCAAGGUUAUGGACCCCUCCUGGUUCAAAGAAUUGGUUCCUAAUUGUAUGGACGAAGAGAAGAUUUGAAGUCGUCGAUUUGUCCCAAUCCGGUUGGGGUACUCGAUCGCAGACAACCCACUCACUGCUGCAACUAGAUCCGCGCAGUUGAUCACUAUUGUGGCCAUAUUCAACAUGCCGUGGAAUCUUCCAGAAGGUCUUCGGAUUUGGAUCGCCGUAAUCAACGACAAUGGCAACGAGAGAGGUUGUGGGUUUGGUGAAGGAGAUGACUAUGGUAGUGAGAGAGUUGAAGGAUGAGAUGGAGGCGGUGAGGAAAGUGGAGGAUUUGGGUUCUGGGUGUGUGAAAAAUGGUGGCUUGGGAAGCUUGGGAAUGGGUUGUUGGAGGAGACAUAGGGGUGGCUGGAAAAGGUGUAGGUGAUAAAGACUUCGAGAAGAUGGAGGUUAUAAUAUAAUUUUUUUUAUUUUUUGUUUAUUCGGUCUCCUUACUGGAGAAAGGGCUAGGCAAACAAUAUUAUUUAAUUUUAAUUGUUUUAUAGGUCUAUGUGGGGCCCACAGUGCCACAUUUUGCAUUGUCAUUGCCCAAUCAAGUGCCACAUCACGUUUUAACAAAGUCCUUAACAGAAAAACUAACGGAAGUACGAGAUUGUCUCAAAAUUAAGACUUAAGGUAUGACUUUGGGAUGAAAAAAACUUAAUGUACCAAAUGUUGAAAACCACGAAACAUUAGGGUAGUAAACUAAUAUUAACCCAAAAAUUUAAAUCACGCAAACCAUGCUGAGAUAGAAUGUGAACAAGCAUGUUAGGACGACUAAAUUUGUAGACAAAAUUUUAAAAACUAAAUAAUAUAAAAGUUGAUGGCUAGAUUAAGUAUUAAUUAAUGUAUUAUUUCUUAUUAAUAACAUAUUAUUUAAUUUACAAAUUUAACCUAUAAGUUCAGUCUAUUUAACAUUACUAUCAUUCGUAUAAAUGGCCACUAUUUUUAACUCCUCAUUCCCGACGCAAGAUCUUAUGCGUAGUGGAAGUGGCAAACAAAUUUUUAACUUGUGUCAAGUGUCAACCGACAUUUUUCAAUAAGAAUGUCUAACAUCACCGAGUUAUCCAUAUAUAUAAUUUUAGAAAAAGGUGAAGUGUAAUCCAUGUUGAACCAUGGUGCCAGAACUAUACAAAAUGAUGCCUUCGCUUGUCCAUGUCCACUCAAAAGCAAUCGCUAAUUUAACCCCACGUUGGACAUUCACAAUAACUUGACAAAUAUAUGACCCUAGCCUUCAUGCAUGAACAUUUUUUAAAUCAUGGCGUGCUACACGCGACUUACACGUUUUAAAUGUAUUUAUAUGCAUGAAUUGACAAAAGGAAAGUCAAAUAUUUGAAGUAAAUGAAUAAUCUUAGAUCAAGCUAGAAAAAACCUCUCACAAACCAAUCAAAGCAGCUGAAUUCACAUAAUAAAAUAAGUCUCUCAAUUUCCAUCUACAUUCUAUUGAAUUUACAUUAAGAAUUUCGAAAAUAAUAUUUAAUAAACAACUGAUUGAAUCACAUUAUAACUAACCCAUUGUUAGGCUAAGCUCAUUCCCUCCCCCUUAGUGUCGAUAAUAUCGUUUGUUAAAAAAUAAAAAAUAAACAAUCAUUUGACAACUAAUUUAAUCACAUUAUUAUAUGCGUACGAAAGCUUUUUUUUAUAACCAGCAUUACACGCCUCUUAAGAUGUUUUGAAUGUGUUUAAAAAUAGAGAAAAUAAUAUUUAAUGAACAACUGAUUAAAUCAUAUUAUUACUAGCCUAUUGUGCGGUACUAAAUAAAAAAACUGUACAAAAAGAAUUAAUUAUUAAAAAAAUACUAUUAAAAUAACGAAAAUACCUCUGCAUUAUUUUGGGUUGCUUUUGAAAUUUUUUGUAUUGGGGGCAUUUUUGUCCAAAACUUUUUGGUGAAACUUGUGACCCCAAAAAGGGUUGUUGGCUUUAUAUACAAAGAUACAAUCGAACCAAAAUCAUAUAUACAUAUUGAUAAAUUCAAUCCCAUCAACUCAAUAAGCAUAACCAUACACACAAGUCGGCAUGCACAUAAUAUAUAUGAUGGCUUAUAACCAUUAGUGAAGCCCGAAAUUAUCGAGGGAGUGAUAAAAUUUAAAAGAGUGCAAGGUAUGGUUGCUCACACCGAAGAGUGCAAGGUUUUGACAAUAUUCAUAGCAAAAAAUGAUCUCUCCACCAAAGCAAUUGCAACCGGUAAGUCAAUGUAAGAAAUUUAUUUUAGCUACGAAUUGAAAAUUUUGUUGCUCUAAUUUUUUUUUGUUAAUUUGAUAUGAGUACACUAUUCAUUGUUGUUAUUUAUGUAAAGUUUAAUUACGACAAGUUCAUCGCUGGUGCUUUCAGCGUACCAAGCAGAAACAUCCAUGAACAUCUUCCCCCGGUUUUGCAUGUAUCACAUUUCUAAAUUGUUUACAAGAUUGACAAAAGUAGAUUUGUCAAAGAAAUUUUACCAUAGCUAAAAGAAAAUUGAUUUUCAAUCAGUUUUGCUCACCACUUGGAACUUCAUUUGCAUCGUGUUUAUUUAUUAUUUAUUUUUAUUUUAAAGAUACGAUAAUAGAUUUCAUUUCAUCAACACAGUCAUAGUACAUUAGUUUCCAACUAUUUCCUAGAGACCGGAAUGUGAUUCCUCAACCAGUAGAUCGACAAUGAUACUUGGAGGGGAAUCCAACCAUUCACUACAAUGACCUAGAGCUAGACCAUUUCUGGCGAGACAGUGAGCGGCAACAUUUGCAUGGCGACGAGUGUGGGAAAUAGUGGCUUUAGUGAUUGUGGCAAGAAGCUCUUUACAAUCCUCCACAAUUUGUCCAAUAAUGUACAGAUUGAGGUGUAAAUCCAUAAGUGCCUCCACAAUCUUAAAAGAGUCAGUUUCAACCAAAAGAGAAGAGAAUCCCCUAUCAACUGCCCAAAGCAAACCCGCCCUUACCACCAUGGCCUCCGAUUGGAGUGGAGAGAAAACAUCCUCAAAGCUUCCGCAAUGUGCUGCCACGAACACCCUGUCACUGCCAUGGAUAACGGCUCCAAAACCCAUAACUUUUCGUUCAGCAUUCCAAGAUCUGUCAAGGUUCAUUUUGAGGCAUCCCGAGGGAGAUGUAACCCACCUGGGUAUGGUGACAUGGCCAUGGCUGCCAGGAUUGCAUUAUCAAUUCGAGUUUUGUUGAAAUGAGUUGUAUCUCAGUUUCGAUUAUAGACAUAAUCAUCUCAAAUCCAAUGACUGUUUAAAUGAGCUUGAGUGGAAGGUUCUUUAUGGGUUUAAUGUUUACUUCUUGAUACCAUAGUAAGGUGGUAUUUUGGCUAUCGCGAUCAGAAUCCUUUAUAGAUGCAAAGUUUGGGAGGUAAUGUUUCUCUGAAUCAACGUUACCAGGGGUUUAUUAAAACUCUGUCCCUGGCCCAUAAACUUAUUCGCAUUAAGCUCCGUUGCUUAUUUUAUUCCUUAAAGUUCAUUUACUUUGGAAACAUUUAUCGGAUUAGAAAUUCUUCAUGAAAAUGAUACACAAGACAUGAAAAUCCUUACACAAACACAUGUUUAUCAUCAUAGUCACAAAGGAGAUCAAAUUAGUACAACAGUUUGGAGGAGAAAAGCCCUCGCCUCUAGUGGAGAAAAGUUCCUAAAGACUGCACAACACACUUGACCAUAGUUGUUAGCUAUGAUGGAGGUUCUGUUACCAGACCAAGGAUAUGCUACACCCACCUUAUUGCAUUCCGAGCACGACACUACAUUCAAGGCGAGUAUUUUGAUUGAGAUCCGCCACUAUCGUAGUCCAAAAGUAGAGGAAAUGAAAAGAAACAGAGACGGAAAAUCCACAAAAGCAUCCCAUCACCUCGAAGGAAUGAAAUCCGGUGCAAAUUCUGCACUAGAUGUUCGACAAGGAGAAUGGUUAGUGAUGGGGCACUCCACUGCGACUUCAACACUCAAGCCACAUGAGUGCCACAUUGGAGAAUGUUUAAAUGAAGAGCUGUCACCAUCACUGUCAAUGAGCAUCAAAUUAGGAAGAUGAUGGUGACGAAUAACCCUCCAACAAAUCUUUGCACCUCGCGUAGAUCUUAUUCUUCCACGAAGACUGCAUAGAGAGUGCUACGAGAGGAUGAAUGUUAUAGAAUGAGUUGCAAAAAGCAAAGGGACAUUCCUGAGAACAUGAUGGAAAUUACUAUAUACGGCAUAACUUUCUGGGAUUGGAAUUUUCUUCAACGACAAACCAAGUGGAAAACUAGGAUUGGAGAGGCAGGUUAAGGUGAAAACAAGGUUCAUGGCACAAAUGAGAGAAUAAUGAAGGAACCUGUGACCUAAGGGGGUUAUUUAAAGACGAAUCAUGAAAAAGUCUCACCGUUAAAAAUGAAGAGUCAUCAGCUUAGAGAUCGAUGCGGGCGAGAAUCAGGGCUAAUCAAUAAGACGUGUGGUUGUUUCUUUAAGAAGUAUGUGUGCAAAAUAGAGGCAUUCAUCAUCAUGAUGGUUGAAUUCAGAUGGACACAUGAUGGAAACUAAGAAUGACUCAAUUACCUCCCUUUAUUGAAGCGGACUAGCUCGCAAGAAGUUGAAAACUAAACAGUACGUAUUCCAGCUUACUUUGAAACACAUGGUCUUUGGAUAACAAUCCAUCAUCAAGGUGAACGGGUUGCCUCUCAGAUGGAUAGUUAAGACAAUUGUGGGACCAUGAUUUUUCCAAGCCGAAGUAAGGUUGAUUUGAAUACAAUUACCUUAGAAGUUCGACCAUAGACUCUCCAACUCCGAGCGGAGCUGUAUCAGACGGAGUAACGGUGCCACCAUACUUGUUCCGCAAGUUGUGCGAUCUGAUCCAGAAUUGGACUCAAUUAGAUCCUGUAAGUUUUGGAGUUCCUACAAUUUAGGAAUUGGUGUGCGUCGCAAGUAAUCACAACUUCUAAGAAGAUGCAAUAUCGACUUUUAGAUAUCCUCUAGGAUUCUCUCGGAUUAGAUCAAGGAUUAUAUCUUAAAAAGGUUUCUCUCCCCACGGUAUAAAUACACCCAUCUAGGGUUCACUUGUGUAACACAAUCUAAAUACUUCAAUUCUCUUGCCCAAUGCUUGAGUCUAAAAUAAUUCAUUAAUUUGACUAUCGGAAAACCUUUGGUUGACACGCCUCUCCCAGUCUCAGGUUUGCUCACUGUGGUUUACUAUUUUGCAGGUUGCUCGAGUUUAUGCUUAAUCACCACUCAUGACGAUACGCAAAUUUGGUUCAAACAAUGAUCACCUAUCGCAGAUAUACCAAGCAUGAUCACUCCUAGAAUAGGUCAUUGCAAAUAUACCAAGAAAAACCAUAAGCAUAGUCUAAUUGUGUAGGCAGUGAUCACCCAUCGCGGAUAUACCAAACAUGAUCACCUGUAAAAUACAUAAGGUUCCCACCACGAACAUACCAAGCAGGACCAUCCAUGUACAACUGCUAUCAGAUCAACGCAUAACCUAUUCCUACCUCAACACCUAUGAUUUACAGCAUAAGCGCAUACACUAUCAAUUCCUCAUGACAACUAAAUAUCUUGUCAAACAGGCAUACAAGUUCUAUUGAAUGCUUCCACUAGGGUUCCAGACUCACAUUUUCAUACUAGUAAUCAUACAUAUUAUUUCUUAUCUAGAAGUUAAAUAAGCAUGGAUAUCACAAUAUGGUGCCAUUUGCACAUAAACUGAGGGGCACAUUCCUAAGAUGGCUUGCUGACUGGAGUAAGCUCACUAAACCCUAGGUCUCUAGUAAUACUAAUUUAGUAGUUAGGAACAAUUCGGAACAGUUUGACCAAAAGUAACCCUCGGUCGAUAUGGUCAACGAUACGAUCAACAAUCCUAGUCAUCCAAUCUAGAAGAUUCGCUCACCGGAUUUUUGACCCGUAACUUCCUAAGAGUCUCAAUAUGUUUCUAAACAUCAUACUAAAAUUUCAUGACGAUCUGACGGUCAGAUCUUCGCCAAUUGCCCAAUUUAAGUAGCAGUCAACGGUUGGUUUUACGAACUUAGAAAUUUAAUUCGGAAGAUCCGUAUGUCGGAUUACCGAUCCGUAAGUUUCUAAAGUCCUCAAAUGAUACGUACUAUAAUAUAUAUGGUAAUGAUCCAACGAUCAGAUCAUCGUCUAGUACAAAGGUUAACAAUUUAAAAUUUCUUUCAAUUCGGAAUAUUCGUACAUCAAAUUUUCGAUCCAUAAGUUCCUAAAGUCCUUAAAUAACAACCACAACAAUAUAUUAAAGUUUCACAUCAGUCCAACGAUUGGAUUGACGUCAAUUACGAAAAUCGAACAGCGUUACCAUUUUCAAUAAAUCGAAUAUAUCGAAUCGUCGUAAAGUGUUUCAACAAAGGGACCUUAGAAUCGGACCCAAGACAUGGAGGGCAUUCACUGUACAAAAAUCCAAUUUGCCAGAGUCCCUCAAGGGCUACCACCCGCGACGGUUUUGGAGAACAGAAACCUACGUUUCCAACUAUCUUCGACUGUCUCCAAAUUUCACACACUAGCAGUACAAGACAUAAGGAUGAGUUUUCAUUCCAGAGUCGGGGUCCAAUUUGCCAGGAAAUGGCCUGAAAACGCCACAAUCCGUCGAAACCCUAAAAUGGGUAUACUUUGAUUUGAUGCCAAAACGAACUUCGACACCCCCAAUCUUGCUUAGGUCUUGAUCCUAAGGUUUUGAGGAGUUGAAUGAUGGUGGUGAUUGGCGGUGGUCCGUUUAGAAACAAAUUGCCACAAAAUAACCCAUGGAGUCGCUGACUUCAUUUUUCACGAAACGAGAGUCAAAACUCGUCGGGUUUGGGUGGAAAUUAAAGAGGAAGUGGCGGGGUGAUGGUUGCAGGUGAUGGAUGGUUCUCGCCAGAAAAAUCGAUGGAAAACUGUCGGAACAGUCGUGGAAGUCCAGGUUAGAACAGGGUCACAAUGGGAAACAGGUUGAAGGAUGGAGGAUAUGGUGCUGGGUUCUCUCUUCCUGACUGGUCAGCCCUCUCUCUCUCCUUCUCUGAUUGGUCCUCCAUUCUCUAGAAACUGUGGGGGUUUUCCUAAAUAGAAACCCCAUGUUACUAUUUAUAUCGAACUUCUAAUGUCCGUACCUCUUCGUUAACGCUCUGAUUUAUGAACGGCUUUCACCUAUGCGUUCGUGGGAUUGAGCUCUAUUAAAAAACAGUAAGAGUGACCUUGUAACAUAUGAAACCAGUCUAGAUUACAAUAUCUGGGCCUUUCAGAAAUUCACUUUUGGGGCCAAUUCCUUCUUUCCUUGGAAACCUAACAAAGUUGACCUAUUUUAAUCUCCUCCAAUAAGCUCUCAGGCACCAUUCCUGCAGUUAUUCAAGGUUACGGCUCCUAUGCAUUUAUAAAUGUUAGGUUGAUAUAAUAGGUAUAUUUUGUAUCUCUUUUACCUAUUAAUUUAGUCAUGGUUUGAUAUAAAACAGUUGGAUUUGAUGUAUUUUGUGUGAAUUUUAUAGAAGUUAUUUUUUCGGAGAAAACUGGAUUUUGUUAGAAGAAUUACAAGGAAAGCAUGAAAGAAUAACGAAGUGGACUGAUGCUAUGUGAGAGUGGUGCUGGAAUUUGGGCUUUAUCAAAUUAAGUCCAAUUUGGGCUUCAUAAAAACUGGCGUUGGACUAUUCCAAGGAGGGGAAGGUUUUUAAUCCCCUUAUCAAGAAGGUUGCAGCAGAAAUAAAAUAGGAGGGGGAUUUUAAAGGAAAGACAAAAGGCACAUUAAAAGUGGGGAAGAAUCCUGCAGCCGCAGGAGGGGAGAAGGUGGCAGUUUUGGGGUUUAUCGCAUACGAUUCCAGAAUUGGGGUUUUGGGUUUCUUUAUGUCAUCGAAUUCAUCCAUGUUUGUCAUUAGUUUAAUCAUGAACUAAGUCCUUUUGCUAGGAUUAGGGUGUACUCUUAUCAUGAACAUCUAAUUCUAAUUAUUUCAUAUUGAUCUCGGUUGUUUUCCAUGUUGAGUAAAUGUUAUUGUGCUUUAUCGUUAUCAAAUAACUGGCCAUUAUUUGUGUGAAGAACUAAAUUGGGACUGACAGGUUGAGUUUAGUAGAUUGCUUCUCAUAACGAUUACCAUGAAUUACAUAAUUGAGUAGACAUACUGAUUAUGAUUUGUGUAGUAUUGUGAAAUUAUCCAUUUAGCGUAAAGGGCUUCGAUUAUCUACUUUUGUGGCUAGACAUAGCAUGGGUAGAUAGUUAGAAACACAGUUAGUAUAUUCUGAAAGGAAAUAUUGACGAAUCAAGGGAUAAUUGCUAGCAACAUGGGAAUAAUUUGAGUUUAAUAUGAAUAAUGGGAUUAGAUGGGAUUGAGAAUGAGGAACCUGAUGUCCUAGUGCUUCAAUAUAUUAAUUUUUCAUAAUUCAUUCACUUUUACUUCGUGUUUAUUGAAUUGAUACUUUCAAUUUCGUUUGGGGUUUUGCAUAUUUGAAUUUGUCAUCGUUAUCCAUCUUUUAUUUAAGUUUAGUUUGAAGUCAAUCUCAAUAGUAAAUUUAGGUUAAUCCGAUCCUUGUUUGAACGACACUCUACUUAUCACUAUAUUACUUGGACGAUAUUGUACACUUGCAAUUAUCAACAACAAGUUUUUGGAGCCGCUGCCUCGGAUCGAAUUUAAUUCUAUUUUACUUUUGUGAUUUUGCUUAGUUUAUUUAAAUUUUAUUUUCGUUUUUUUUAUUUUGAUUAUUUUUUUUUUCUCGGAGUAUUCUCACCUUGUCUCAUUGUUUCUUGAAGGUGAAUGCUUGGUACUCGUUCGUCGGAUUGUGUACUACUUGAGUUUGAACCAGAAAUUGAGAAAAUACUCCGUGAAAUCCGAAGAGAACAAAGAGAAGUCAGUGAGAAAGAAAAGCAGCAAGCAAGAUGGCGUUAGUUCAAAAUGAAACGAUGGGAGAUCUUGAUAUGCCAACCAUUCCGGAAUCACCGUCGAGCAUAGCUCUUCCUGCAGCUGCAAGGAAUUAUGAAUUGAAGACUAUCCACUUUAAUAUGAUGCCUUCUUUUCAUGGCAUGAGCACUGAAGAUCCAUUGGCACAUAUUAGAGAUAUCUUCAAUAUGGUGUCCAACAUGGCAAUGGUAGAAGGAGUCACCGAGGAACAUCUCAGGAUGAAGGUCUUUCCAUACACUAUGAAAGACAAAGCGAAGACUUGGUUGAAUUCUUUGAGGCCUAGAACCUUGACGAGUUGGAACGAUAUUCAGAAUAAAUUUUUGGAGAAAUUCUUUUCGACCCAGAAGACCGAUACCCUUAGAGAUAAUAUCAUGCAGUUCACUCAACAGGCAGAUGAGACGUUUUCUGAGGCAUGGGAGAGAUUUAAUAAUUUGUUGAUUCAGUGUCCGCACCAUGGUUUGCCUACUCUAGUUCUCAUGCGGAUAUUUUAUAAAGGAUUAACAAUUUCAAGCAAAGCUGCAGUGAACAACUAUGCAGGGGGAUCAAUUAAGAACAAGACGCCAGCCAAAUGUCAAGCACUUUUUGAUACUCUAGCACUCGAAACACAACAUUCUGAAGCAAGAGGAAGACGAGCAGGAGUUUUUGAGAUUAAUAAUUCUACCGAAUUUGCUUCAAAGGCACAAGUCGAUGCGAUUGCUAGUAAACUUGACACUUUGCUUUCUAUGAAUGGGAGAGCAUCAGUUCAAGAGGUUUGUUCCAUAUGUGCAGUUCCUGGUCAUGCCACAGUUGGUUGUCCGUAUAGUGUUGAUUUUCCAGAAUUUGUUCAAGAGCAAGCAAACAUGGUGAAUGCUUACAGACAUCCUGGUAACGAUCCAUACUCCAAUACUUAUAAUCAAGGAUGGAGAAACCAUCCAAAUCUCUCAUGGGUCAAUAAUCAGAAUGUACAAAAGCCACCAUCUGGUUUCCAACCUCAAGAGAAGAAGAAUAAUUUGGAAGAUGUCAUUGCACAGCUUGCUGGUAACGUGAAUACUCUUUCUGUCAAUACAAAUCAAUUCAUGAGCAAAACUGAGACAACUCUUCAGAACCAGGCUGCCUCAAUAAAAAAUUUGGAGAUUCAAAUGGGGCAGUUAGCUCAUUCUUUGGCAGUUAGAGAAAAAGGUUCUUUUCCAAGCCAAACUGAAGUUAAUCCGAGAAACCAUGAGCAAGCUAAAGCAAUAACUUUUCGAAGAGGGAAACAAGUGAAAACAGCAGCUGAUUUUGAGAAAAACAAUGAGGAAGAAAAGGUAGAAACCAUUUCACAAGAGGAGCAGCCACUGUCCGAUGUUGUACAGCCACUAGCUAUACUGGGAACCACUUCAAAAGCUUCACCACAAUCAGUCAUUGCAGCCACACCACUCCCUAAGCCUGUUGUCCAACCCGUGAAGCCAUAUGUGCCCCCUAUUCCUUUUCCUCAACGGCUCAAGAAGAAUAUGUUAGAUGAGAAGUAUUUCAAAUUCUUAGAGAUGUUUAAGAAAUUGGAGAUUAAUAUUCCAUUUGCCGAUGCUUUGGAGCAGAUGCCGAAUUAUGCUAAAUUCAUGAAGGAUAUCAUCUCAAAGAAAAGAAAAUUUGGCGAUCAUGAGAAGAUUCAGUUGACAGAAGAAUGCAGUGCAAUCUUUCAAAGAAAGCUUCCGCUCAAGCAAAAAGAUAGAGGGAGUUUCAAAAUUCCAUGCAUUAUUGGCACUAAUUUAUUUGAAAAAGCAUUGUGUGAUUUGGGGUCUAGUAUUAAUUUAUUACCCUUAUCUGUUGCUAAGAACAUUGGAAUAGGUGAAAUUAAACCCACUACUGUUUCUUUGCAGAUGGCGGAUAGAUCAAUUGCAUAUCCAGAGGGAAUUAUCGAAGAUGUGUUAGUGAAGGUUGACAAGCUGAUUUUUCCAGCUGAUUUCUUGGUGUUGGAUAUGGAAGAAGAUUAUGAGACUCAGUUGAUUUUGGGUCGGCCAUUUCUUAUCACAGCUAGGACUUUAAUUGAUGUGGAACAAUGGGUUUUGACAUUGAGAAUUGGGGAAGAGAAAGCAACAUUCAAAGUGUUCGAGGCUGGAAAAUUUCCAAGAGAAACGAAAGAUUGUUUUCGCAUUGAUUUAGUAGAGACCGCGAUUUCUGAAAAAUUCAGAGUUGAGAAGCCCAGUGAUCCUAUGGAAGCUGCACUAGUUCAUGCUGCUACUUCAGAAGAUGAAAAUCAACUGUUAGCGGAAUGUGCUCUUUAUUUGGAUGCUUUCAAAUCAGUUACAAAGAGUGGACGAUUGGAGUUCGAAGACCUUGGAUCUGUACCUUCAAAAUCGCUGCCAAGUAUCAUAGCCGCACCUACCUUAAAUUUGAAGCCAUUGCCAUCACAUUUAAAGUAUGCUUUCUUGGGAGCUGCUGAGACUUUACCUGUUAUAAUUUCUGCAUAUUUGAGUGAAGUUGAAGAAGAAAAACUAUUGAGAGUGUUAAGAAGGCAUAGAAUGGCAAUUGGGUGGAGUAUUGCUGACAUCAAAGGAAUUAGUCUGUCCAUUUGUAUGCAUCGGAUCUUGUUGGAAGACAAUUACAAGCCCCCAGUUGAGCAUCAACGCAGAUUAAAUCCAAAUAUGAAGGAGGUGGUACGAGCUGAGAUUUUGAAGUUAUUAGACGCUGGAAUAAUAUAUCCAAUUUUGGAUAGUAAAUGGGUGAGUGCUUUGCAUUUGGUACAGAAAAAGGGUAGAGUUACAGUGGUUAAGAAUGACAAGAAUGAGUUAAUUCCAACGAGGACUACAACAGGAUGGAGAGUAUGCACUGACUAUAGGAAAUUGAACAAUGAGACUCGAAAAGAUCAUUUUCCUUUUCCAUUCAUUGAUUUGAUGUUGGAUAGACUUGCUGGAUAUGCUUACUAUUGUUUUUUAGAUGGGUACUCUGGUUAUAAUCAGAUUCCGAUUGCACCAGAAGACCAAGAAAAUACGACAUUCACAUGCCCUUUCGGUACUUUUGCGUAUAGGCGUAUGCCUUUUGGGUUAUGUAACGCGCCUGCUACUUUUCAAAGGUGCAUGAUGAGUAUUUUUUUUGACUUGGUAGAGCGUUGUAUUGAGGUAUUCAUGGAUGACUUCUCAGUUUUUGGCUCAUCGUUUGAUUCUUGUCUGGAUAAUUUGUCCUCGGUGUUGCAAAGAUGUGAAGAAACCAAUUUAGUUCUAAAUUGGGAAAAAUGUCACUUUAUGGUGCAAGAAGGGAUUGUUUUGGGUCAUAAAGUUUCGGUCAACGGCAUUGAGGUAGACAAGGCAAAAAUUGAGACAAUUUCAAAGUUACCGCCACCCACUUCCAUCAAAGGAGUUCGAAGUUUCCUAGGUCAUACUGGUUUUUAUCGACGUUUUAUUAAGGAUUUCUCUCAGAUUACAAAACCGUUGUGUAACUUGCUCCUAAAAGAAGCGGAGUUUGUAUUCAAUUCAUCAUGUUUUGAGGCAUUCAAUGUGUUGAAAAUGAAGCUCACGACAACUCCUGUGAUAGUUGCACCGGAUUGGGAAUUACCUUUUGAGAUUAUGUGUGAUGCAAGUGACUAUGCUAUUGGAGCAAUUUUGGGUCAGCGGAGAGAUAAGCUACUACAUGUGAUUUAUUAUGCUAGUCGAACUCUCAAUGACGCACAAUUGAAUUAUGCCACUACCGAGAAAGAGCUUCUAGCCGUUGUCUUUGCUUUAGACAAAUUCCGUUCUUAUCUCAUUGGUUCAAAGGUAAUUGUCUACACCGAUCACUCAGCUUUGAAGUAUUUAUUAUCCAAGAAAGAUGCAAAGCCUCGGUUGAUUCGAUGGGUGUUGUUACUACAAGAGUUUGAUUUAGAGAUACGGGAUAAGAAGGGGUCUGAAAAUGUGGUGGCGGAUCAUCUUUCUCGAAUUAUGCAUCAUGAAGGUGAUAAUGACUUAGUUCCUAUCUCUGAAACAUUCCCUGACGAGCAGCUCUUUACCAUCAAAUCUUCAGUCACUCCUUGGUAUGCAGAUUAUGUCAAUUAUUUAGUUAGUGAUAUCAUGCCUCUUGAUUUGACUUGGCAACAGAAGAAAAGAUUCAUUUCGUUAGUUAGACAUUACUAUUGGGAUGAGCCGUACUUGUGGAAGCAUUGUCCGGAUCAAUGUAUAAGACGAUGUGUUCCUAAUGACGAGAUGGAGGAAAUAUUGCCACAUUGCCAUUCUCUAGCAUGUGGUGGUCAUUUUGGUGCCACAAAGACUGCUGCCAAGGUAUUACAAUCUGGUUUUUGGUGGCCUACAUUGUUCAAGGAUGCUUAUACUUUUGUUUCUACAUGUGAUCGCUGCCAACGUAUUGGAAAUAUCUCAAGUAGACAUCAAAUGCCGUUGAAUAAUAUUCUAGAAGUCGAACUUUUUGAUGUUUGGGGUAUUGACUUCAUGGGACCAUUUCCAUCAUCUUAUGGCAAGCAAUACAUCUUGGUAGCGGUGGAUUAUGUUUCAAAAUGGGUUGAAGCAAUUGCUUUACCUACUAAUGAUGCUAAGGUUGUUGUUCAUUUUCUCCGGAAGCAUAUUUUCACUCGCUUUGGCACCCCGCGCGCCAUUAUUAGUGAUGGAGGCAAGCACUUUUGUAAUCGUCACUUCAAUGCUCUUUUGGCGAAAUAUGGAAUCACACAUAAGGUUGCUACACCUUAUCAUCCACAAACUAGUGGGCAAGUUGAGAUUUCCAAUCGAGAGAUCAAGAAUAUUUUAGAGAAGACUGUGGGAUUUUCACGCAAAGAUUGGGCUGCAAAGUUGGAUGAUGCGCUAUGGGCAUAUCGGACUGCAUUCAAGACUCCAAUUGGCAUGUCUCUAUAUCGAUUGGUGUUUGGAAAAGCAUGUCAUCUACCUGUGGAACUGGAACAUAAAGCAUUUUGGGCAGUGAAGAAGCUUAAUUUUGAGAUGGAUGCAGCGGGAGAAAAGAGAGCUUUUCAAUUGAACGAGAUGGAAGAAUUUCAGAAUGAUGCAUAUGAAAAUGCUAAAAUCUACAAGGAACGUACCAAAAAGUGGCAUGAUCAACAUAUUCUUCGUCGUGAGUUUUAUAUUGGCCAGCAAGUUCUUUUGUUUAAUUCUCGGCUGAAACUUUUCCCUGGGAAGUUGCGAACACGAUGGUCUGGUCCUUUUACAGUUGUUCAAGUGUUUCCAUAUGGAACGAUUGAAAUUCGUGAUCAUACAACGGAUGCUACAUUCAAAGUUAAUGGACAGCGAUUGAAGCCAUAUCUUGCUGCCAGUUUUGAGCGAAACACGAAUGUUGUGACCCUUGCUUCUCCCGAUUGAUUGCAAUGCCAAGUCGGGCUGAGGACUUUAAACUAAGCGCUUGUUGGGAGGCAACCCAACCAGGUUCAUUCGUUCCUUUCCUUGUUUAUUAGUUUUGCAUUUUCUUCCUUUCUGUUCCAUACUACUCAUUGUGCAUCUUUUUGUUGUGAUUUUGCAUUGAGGACAAUGUUUAGUUUAGGUUUGGGGGGAGAGCCUAGUUUUUUUUUGUUAGUUUGGUUGAUUCAUUUGCAUUUUUGUUUUUAAGGUCAAAAGUUAAGGUUUUUAUGUUCCAAGUUUAAUAAUAUUGAUUUCUUCACCCACAUGAUGAUUUGAACAUGUUUAGUUUGUCAUUUCAAAUGUGUUUGGAGUGGUUUUGUUGUUAUGUGCCAAAGAAAUUGCAAAAUUGCACUUUGAGUUCAUCUUUUGGUCAUAAUCAACUUAGCUACCUAAAUUAAUUUUGGAUGUUUUUCAAGUUAAUUUGAUGAUGCCAACAUGUUUAGAAUGUUUAAUAUGAUGUGUUGGAAUAGGGUUUGGACAGAAAUUCGACCUACAUUGUGAAUUGGGACGUUUAGAAGCUCAAAAAGUGAAAAUAAGCUUGUAAAUUUGCUGCAUAAUUUCUGCAGAUUUUCUGUCAUAAAUGAGCUUUAGUGACGAUCUUCAAAGAUUUUCUCUGUCACAAAAGAUUUUUAUCCUAUGUUGAAGGCAAUAAUUUUUGCUCGGAAUUCAUUACUUUUAGAGCUAUUCCCUCGUCCAUGAUGCCCAAAAAUAAGUGUAUUCUUUUCCUUUAUCUCAUUUUCUUUCAUGCUUUUAUUUAUACAUCUUUAUGUGAUGAAUUGUGUUGCUAACAUUUAAAGGAUGAGGUAGGAAUUAAAAUUUUGGGAUUAAGUGUUAGAAUUUGUUGGAAACGAUAAGAACUUGGAAGCAUAAGUUGUUAAGGUUAUCACUUUAUUCUAUUAAUGGCGAUGUAUAUGUCUUGCUAAGAAUUCUUCCUUUGCUAAAGGGUUGCCUAGAAGGUUUUUGCAUCACAUUCGUUUUACCAUUCAUUUUGCCAUGUCUCAAGUACUUUGGUGGACAAACUGUCCAUGUUUGGAUGAUGUGGAGAAAUAGUGGAGACUACCCAUGUGAGUUGUUGUGCCUAAGCUUUUCUUGAGAGGGUUAAUUUGUUUCUACUCUUAAACACUUUCCAAUUUCUUUCUUUAAUUUUCAUGAUCUCAUUAAAAUUAAUUUGCAUUGGGUACAAAAGAACUUUAAUAUAUGUUGGGUAUUCUUGCCAUUGGGUUAGACGGAACUAUAGAAACGAUGUUAGGCUAUGCAUGUUGUCCACUGCUAAAAGGCCUAUUCCCUACCCUUUUGUGUGCUCCAUUAACCCCAUUGAAGCCAAACACUUAGCCUUUUCUUUCAUUACCCACAUAAAUUCUUAUCCACUCUACCCUAUAUUAGCCAUACCAUAUAGCUUGAGAGAUACCAAGGUGAUAUCAAAAGAAAUCAAGGUUGAGUUCUACAUCAAAGUAGUGGCGUGUACCGAGGUACCAUGGUUCUUAUUAUUAUUUCUUGUAGUUAUUUCAAGAGUAAAAAAAUAAAAAAAAAUAAAAAAAAAGAGUCAAGAAAAAGAAAAAGAAAAAAAAAAGAGAAAUUGUACCAUUCAUUAUAACAUGAGGCCUGGACGCCACAAAUCAUAUAUCAAGUUUCAAAGGGGUGCCAACCUAACUACAUACGAAAUGUCUUGGUGUUUCUCAAGUUUUUGUUUUUUUUCCUUAUCGUUUCUUUCUUAGCCCAAAUACCUAGCCUUACAUUACAACCGUUUCAAAGACCUAACGGAUUUAUAGGGAAGUCUAGCUUAUUUGGUGAAGGUUGAUACCUAUGUUCUUAGUAUUCGAUUCCUUUCAUGAGAUCUAUUUUCAGAAAUUGCUGUUUUUCAAUGUUGAUCAUAUGUGAUAAUAUAUUGAUUCCUUUUGCAUAAACUCAUCACAUAUGCUUGUUAAGAGAGAAAGCCUAGGUUCUAUGAGAAAAUUGAGUGAUAUCUUGUGAGGCUUAGAGUCGAGGCGAAUUUGUACACACGCCAAGUGUGGUUGUUUUUAAGCCUGAGUGCUUGGGAUGUUGGCUUCAUACUUUCCAUUGUGAUGCAUUGAUUUAUAAGGGCAUAACUUUAGUUUUGGAAGUAUGAUUGGCAUGCAUUGGUUUUCAUUAAUUGAUGGAAGUGAUAACUGUAACACCUUUGCUUUUCAGUAAAGCGUUUGUGGGUAGCGUAACUAGUAAACCCUCAGGAGACACAACUCCUCCGACUAGGGACACCUAGGGGUUUAAAGGCUUGUUGCACAUGCUCAGUGCAAUCGUUUCGUCAGCGAAAGUGGGCUUAAUUAGGUUUUUGUUUUUAGUUAAUGUUAUUUGUUUUUCAUUUUAUGUUUUGCUCGAGGACUAGCAAAAGAUAGGUUUGGGGGUAUUUGUUAGGUUGAUAUAAUAGGUAUAUUUUGUAUCUCUUUUACCUAUUAAUUUAGUCAUGGUUUGAUAUAAAACAGUUGGAUUUGAUGUAUUUUGUGUGAAUUUUAUAGAAGUUAUUUUUUCGGAGAAAACUGGAUUUUUUUAGAAGAAUUACAAGGAAAGCACGAAAGAAUAACGAAGUGGACUGAUGCUAUGUGAGAGUGGUGCUGGAAUUUGGGCUUUAUCAAAUUAAGUCCAAUUUGGGCUUCAUAAAAACUGGCGUUGGACUAUUCCAAGGAGGGGAAGGUUUUUAAUCCCCUUAUCAAGAAGGUUGCAGCAGAAAUAAAAUAGGAGGGGGAUUUUAAAGGAAAGACAAAAGGCACAUUAAAAGUGGGGAAGAAUCCUGCAGCCGCAGGAGGGGAGAAGGUGGCAGUUUUGGGGUUUAUCGCAUACGGUUCCAGAAUUGGGGUUUUGGGUUUCUUUAUGUCAUCGAAUUCAUCCAUGUUUGUCAUUAGUUUAAUCAUGAACUAAGUCCUUUUGCUAGGAUUAGGGUGUACUCUUAUCAUGAACAUCUAAUUCUUAUUAUUUCAUAUUGAUCUCGGUUGUUUUCCAUGUUGAGUAAAUGUUAUUGUGCUUUAUCGUUAUCAAAUAACUAGCCAUUAUUUGUGUGAAGAACUAAAUUGGGACUGACAGGUUGAGUUUAGUAGAUUGUUUCUCAUAACGAUUACCAUGAAUUACAUAAUUGAGUAGACAUACUGGUUAUGAUUUGUGUAGUAUUGUGAAAUUAUCCAUUUAGUGUAAAGGGCUUCGAUUAUCUACUUUUGUGGCUAGACAUAGCAUGGGUAGAUAGUUAGAAACACAGUUAGUAUAUUCUGAAAGGAAAUAUUGACGAAUCAAGGGAUAAUUGCUAGCAACAUGGGAAUAAUUUGAGUUUAAUAUGAAUAACGGGAUUAGAUGGGAUUGAGAAUGAGGAACCUGAUGUCCUAGUGCUUCAAUAUAUUAAUUUUUCAUAAUUCAUUCACUUUUACUUCGUGUUUGUUGAAUUGAUACUUUCAAUUUCGUUUGGGUUUUUGCAUAUUUGAAUUUGUCAUCGUUAUCCAUCUUUUAUUUAAGUUUAGUUUGAAGUCAAUCUCAAUAGUAAAUUUAGGUUAAUCCGAUCCUUGUUUGAACGACACUCUACUUAUCACUAUAUUACUUGGACGAUAUUGUACACUUGCAAUUAUCAACAACAAUAAACAACCCCUUCCUCUGUGGUACUCCUUUGGACAAAAACUGGGGGUCCGACACAAAAGCAUUGCUUGAGAAAGAAUGUCUAAUAGGUGGCGGAUCAAUUGGUAUAGUCUACAAAACGAAUUUUGAAGGUGGCGUCUCAAUUGCAGUGAAGAAGCUCGUGACUCUGGGAAGAAGAAAAAACCAAGAUGAAUUUAAGCAAGUAAUUGGACGACUGGGCAACAACAUAAGGUUAAUUUUUCCAUUUUAAAAUUAUUUUAUGCUGAUGUCAGCAUAAAGCAUAACGAAACACUAACCGAAGGGGUUUUGAAAAUAAUUUUAAAAUGUCAGGGGGCUGUUUAUGAUAUGUGGAAAAAUGAAGGGGUUUUGAGAAAACACAAGAAACAUCAAGGGUGUACGUGUAGGUAUAUGAUGCCAUGUAGUCGAUAUUAAAUUACAGAAAAGACAAACAACCAACAUUAACAUUUCCCUACCUAAGACUGGACCCCAACAAAAAAUAAAAAAUGCUUUCUUCCUGGAAGUUAUCUAUGUAUAUAUAAAAUUUAAUUUUCUUGGAAAGCGAUGUUAGAGUUGAUUAGAUGCAUAAUAUAAGUAAACUCGAAAAUGGCCACCAAGAUUUCGUUGACAAAGCUAAAGUUUGGAUGCACAGCUUUUGGCAUCCAUGGCCAGAUCACAGUGACUUUAUCCCCCUCUCGCCAUAAGAUAGAGGUGGAACUGCAAGAGAAGGAAAGGGACGACUUUUGUCAUGAAUAAUAUUAAUUAUAAUAAUAAUAAUAAUGAUUACAAUGCUUGCACAAUAAGCAAUACCAAACAGCUCAAACACAGAGUGUGCCUAUUAAUAUGAAAUUAGUCAAAGCAAACACCCCGCAAAUCCCAGAAAGCUGUUGAGUGCCGGCGACUUCUUCAAGCUCAAGAUACCCUUUUGGUAAGUAUCUCAUUUCUUGCUCUGUGUUUCUGUGUUUUAGCAUGUCAUAUGGGUUCUCUUCUGUUCUGUACUGCUUAACUACUUUCUUUUACUGCUACAAAUGUUUUGGUGUUGUAUUGGGUUUCUCGAGUUGCAGAGAUUUGUUUCUGAUUCCGUCACUCACUCACUAAAGUUGCAGUCUUCUUUGGGGACCCAAUCAUACCUCAAGAAACAUCUUCACAGAUCAAUUUCCUAGUUUUUCCAGUAAAACGAAAACGAACAAAUACCCUUUUUUUUUCUUCUGUGGGAUCGUUUUGUUUACUUGUGGUUGCAUUUUUUCUUCUUUUUUUAUCAAAAGAAAGAGAAAAAUAAAGUACUUAAUUACCAGGAGGGGUGUUUGCUUGCAAAAGUAGUGAAUUUUGUAGUCUAUGGAAACAAAUGGUUAGAUUCUCUGAAUGUAUACUUGUCUGCUUGCGAUCGACAUUCCAGUAAAUUAACAUAAAACUUUUCAUCUUGGAAUACAAGACAAGUAUGUAGUGUUGAAUUUUUUCCAGAUUUAGUUUUUGUUUCGUUUACUUUGUGAAGUGAAUAGUUGACGAAAGAGAUGUGCUGACUCAAUUCCCCUAUUGUAAUUUUUUAAUCUAAGGCCUGCUUUCAGAUUUGGAAGUAGUCGUGCCCUGCUUACAGAUAUUUAGCUGGUCCUUUCUGCACUGCCAGCACAAAUUCGCUGGCUUGGCUUUUAAGUUUACUAUAACAGGACUGUGCUUAUGCAGGUGCAGAUUGAGGUAUAACAAAUCAGGUGUCAAGCAUCUCAAUACUUUCUUGGGGUUCGUAACAUGGCCCAGGAAAGUGGCGUGGAUGGGGCUACGCCUCAAGAGCAUGAGGACAUCACUUCAAGAAGCCAAGUAGAAGUAGAGAAAAGCACCGACACGAAUGGGGAUCAUCAAGGCUCAGACAAGAGCAGCGGAGAUGAGAAACUUGAAAAAGUUCCAUUUUCCAAGCUAUUUUCAUUUGCAGAUAAGACUGAUACUAUAUUGAUGCUCGCCGGCACAAUUGGUGCCAUUGGGAAUGGCUUGGGGAUGCCCCUUAUGACGAUAUUAUUGGGGGAGAUGAUCAAUUCUUUUGGAUCUAAUCAAAACAAUAAAGACAUAGUUAGUGCUGUUUCCAAGGUAAAGUUAUAUGCUGCACAAGCCAAUUUAAUCUUUAUGUUUGUUAAGACAUCGAGUUGAACUUUCAAUAAUGGUUUGAACUGCUCUUAUGAGGUCAAAUAUUGGAGUUCCAGAAAAUCACAUCGAUUUUUUUAGCUCAGAUUUUUGUUCAAUUAUUCUUACGGGAUUCUUUUUUUCCUUAUAUUUCUUAUCAGUAAAUUUUAGGGGAUUCGUUUGAUAAUUAUUCUUCCUCUGGUUAUUCACUAAGUUGUUAGGCCGAACAUGUUGAUAAUCAUUUAGUUAUCUUGGUACAUUGUAGGUCUCUCUAAAAUAUGUCUAUUUGGCAAUCGGGACAGGUGUGGCCGCAAGUCUUCGUAAGUACAUCUCAUACCCAUAACCACAAAAGUUUUUCAUGCAUGCAGAGAGAAACUCAUACACAUAUCAAGCAUUUGAAUUUUGAACUGAUACAGCUGUAUUUCUUGUUCACAGAGGUCUCUUGCUGGAUGGUAACAGGGGAAAGACAAGCUGCAAGGAUAAGGGGUUUGUAUUUGAAAACAAUUUUGAGACAAGACGUUGCUUUCUUUGAUUUGGAAACAAAUACUGGAGAGGUCAUUGGGAGGAUGUCUGGCGACACUGUUCUCAUACAAGAUGCCAUGGGCGAGAAGGUACUACGCUGUCUUCACAAUUACAAACCCUAAAUUCACCCCAGGGAGAAUAAAAACCUUGAAAUUUUUUAUUCUUAAAAUGUAACUAAAAGGUCAUAUUUGUGCACUUGUUCGUGCAGGUUGGAAAAUUUUUACAACUAUUUUCAACAUUCAUUGGAGGGUUUAUAAUAGCAUUCAUCAAAGGAUGGCUUCUUACCCUUGUCAUGUUAUCCUCGAUUCCUCUGCUUGUGGCAGCUGGUGCAGCUAUGUCCAUCAUUAUAUCCAAGAUGGCAACCCGUGGACAAAGUGCUUAUGCAAAAGCAGCAAUUGUAGUUGAACAGACGAUAGGCUCCAUCAGAACCGUAGGUCACACUGGCCUUACAACUAUUGGAAUAAUUUUCGAUUGUUUGGCCAAGAGUAUGAUGUUUCUCAUCUGCUUUCUAUGUAGGUUGCAUCCUUCACUGGGGAAAAGCAAGCAACAACAAAUUACAAAAAAUAUCUUGCGGAUGCUUACAAAUCAGGUGUUUACGAAGGUACUGCUGCUGGAGCAUGUUUUGGCAUGGUUAUGCUAGUUGUGUUCUGCACUUAUGCCUUGGCGGUAUGGUUUGGUUCAAGAAUGGUAAGGAAUAAUGGAUAUUCCGGGGGUGACGUGCUGAAUGUGAUUGUUGCUGUUUUGACUGGAUCCAUGUAAGAUCCAUUUCUUUUUUCUUUUCUUUUUUUGUGGGUUAUUAUCGUACCUAUGUUAUCAUCUUUUUCUCUCUCUUUAUGUUUGAUUUUAAAUACUCGUACAUACAUGCAGAUACAUAUGUACAUGAGUUCCUCUUUUGAUUUUUCUCUUUCUCCUCUUUUUGUUUAAAUAUAUUAACUAUUUUGGAUGAAUUAGGUCUCUGGGGCAAGCAUCACCGUGCUUGAGUGCAUUCGCUGCUGGUCAAGCUGCAGCAUUUAAGAUGUUUGAGACUAUCAGUAGGAAACCAGAGAUUGAUGCUUCUGACGAAAAAGGAAAGACAUUGGAUGACAUUCGUGGAGAUAUAGAUCUAAGAGAGGUUUACUUCAGUUACCCAGCCAGACCAGAUGAACCAAUAUUCGACGGGUUCUGUCUUCAUAUCUCUAGUGGCACCACUGCAGCUUUGGUUGGACAAAGUGGAAGUGGGAAGUCAACAGUCAUCAGUCUGAUAGAGAGAUUUUAUGAUCCACAAGCUGGUGAAGUGUUGAUAGAUGGCAUAAACCUAAAAGAAUUUCAGGUGAAAUGGAUUCGGAGUAAAAUUGGUCUCGUCAGCCAGGAACCCGUACUGUUCGCAUCCAGCAUUAUGGACAAUAUUGCCUAUGGAAAGGAUGGUGCUACCAUUGAAGAGAUAAAAGCAGCAGCUGAACUUGCAAACGCCUCCAAAUUUAUCGAUAAAUUGCCUCAGGUUCCAACUAAUUCUAUCUAAUCGCAGUUUAUAAUUAUGUGUGUGUUCAUAGGAAUAUUAUUAGUUCAUUUGGCCUUUAAUGAUUCGUGAUCAGGGCAUUAACACCAUGGUCGGUGAGCAUGGAACUCAGCUAUCUGGUGGGCAGAAGCAGAGAAUUGCUAUAGCAAGAGCAAUUUUGAAAGAUCCACGAAUUUUACUUUUGGAUGAAGCUACAAGUGCACUUGAUGCAGAAUCUGAGAGGAUAGUUCAAGAAGCAUUGGAUCGGAUUAUGGUCAACAGAACUACUGUUAUUGUUGCUCAUCGUUUGAGCACGGUGAGGAAUGCAGAUGUGAUUGCUGUCAUUCAUAAAGGAAAGAUGGUUGAAAAAGGUAUUCUACCUGAUAAAGCUAGCACGUUCUUUUUAUUAGUUCUUGCAUAUGUUUCCCUUGAUUUUGACUUGCUUUCUUCUGCUAUAACACGUUGCUUUUCCCACCGAAAUCUCUUAUAAUCUCCAGAGUCCAGGCUUAGUGUUUGUACUUGUGGAUAGAAUUUCGGUUUACUCGUGGCUGCAAUUUAUUAUUAGAUCCCAAGUUCCUGCCAGUUUGUCACGUGUAUAGGAAGACUAUCAGUUAACCAUAUUUUUGUCCAUUGAUCAGGCUCGCACUCAGAAUUACUCAAGGAUCCUGAAGGAGCAUACUCUCAACUUAUACGCUUGCAAGAAGUAAACAAGGGUUCAGAUCAAACAGGAGAAGUUCAAAACAAAUCUGAUAUAACUGCUGAAUCUUUUAGACAAUCAAGUCUAAGAAUGUCGUUACGAAGAUCCAUAAGUCGGAAUUCCUCUGUAGGAAAUAGCAGCCGCCAUUCAUUUUCAGCUGCCUUUGGUUUACCCAUAGGACAUGCUAGCAUGCAUGGCACUACAUUGGCAGAACCAGAGGCCGCUGCCCUGGCAUCAGAGCAACCUCCAAAGGUCUCUCUCCUCCGCCUCGCUGCCCUCAACAAGCCCGAGAUUCCAGCACUUCUUCUUGGAACUUUAGCUGCAACCGCCAAUGGUGUCAUACUUCCAAUUUUCGGUGUGCUUAUUUCCAGGGUAAUAAAGACUUUGUAUGAACCACCUCGUCAACAAAAGAAAGAUUCAGAGUUUUGGGCAAUUAUUUUUAUGGUACUUGGUGUGUCAUCAUUUCUGGUGAUCCCAGCACGAGCAUACUUCUUUUCGGUUGCCGGUAGUAAGUUAAUUGAACGUAUCAGAUUGAUGUGUUUUGAGAGAGUGGUUCACAUGGAAGUUGGGUGGUUUGAUGAGCCUGAGAACUCAAGUGGUUCAGUUGGUGCGAGGCUCUCAGCAGAUGCAGCAAUAGUGCGGGCCCUUGUUGGAGAUGCACUAGCUCAGAUUGUUAAUAGCAUUGCGACCGCAAUUGCAGGUUUGUUCAUUGCUUUCAUUUCAUGCUGGCAGCUGGCAUUUAUUAUCCUCGCAUUGAUUCCUCUGAUCGGAGUCAACGGAUAUGUUCAAGCAAAGUUCAUGAAAGGAUUCAGUGCCGAUGCAAAGGUAUGAUCAGAAGAUCCAUGAACUAAUAGCAUAUUUCGUAUCCAAAUUCUUUUGUUCUGAGGUCUUCCGAAUUUGUAUAAUUAUACGUCUGCAGAUGAUGUAUGAAGAAGCAAGCCAAGUUGCUAAUGACGCAGUUGGGAGCAUACGAACAGUUGCUUCUUUCUGUGCUGAAGAGAAGGUAAUGGAACUGUACAGAAGGAAAUGUGAAGGCCCUACAGCGGCAGGGAAAAGACAAGGCUUGAUCAGUGGAAUAGGAUUUGGAAUGUCUUCUUUCUUUCUAUUUUGUGUGUAUGCAACCAGCUUCUAUGCGGGAGCUAAACUCGUCAAGGCUGGCAAAACAACAUUUAGCGACGUUUUCCAAGUAACUAUUCUCUCUCCAUAUUUAUCUACCAGUUCUAUUCAGAAAGUGUUGAUAACAUACAUGAUAUACAUUCAGACCAAGUAUAUGGCUGAUUUUAAGAUGUGUAUUUGGUUGCAGGUUUUCUUUGCUUUGACCAUGGCAGCCACGGGCAUAUCUCAGUCGAGCAGCAUGGGUCCUGAUUCUAAUAAAGCCAGGAGUGCUGCUGCUUCUAUAUUUGCAAUUAUAGACAGGAAGUCUAAGAUAGACCCUAGUGACGAGUCUGGCAUGAAAUUGGAUAAUGUAAAGGGAGAGAUUGAGCUUCACCAUGUAAGCUUUAAAUAUCCAUCCAGGCCAGAUACACAGAUUUUCCGAGACCUCAAUUUAACCAUUCACUGUGGCAAGGUAAAGAUUGCGUCAAUUGAGUUGGAUUGCAAUUCUUCGUUUAUUUUGUUUUCAUUUCAUGACGUGCUGAUGAAGCUUAAGCCAUAAUACAGUGUUUUCUUUUAUUUGUGAAUAUCGUUUGCAGACAGUUGCCCUGGUUGGAGAAAGUGGGAGUGGAAAGUCGACAGUUGUUGCAUUGUUGCAACGAUUUUAUGAUCCUGAUUCAGGUCAUAUCACACUUGAUGGAACUGAACUUGGAAAGUUCAACUUGAAAUGGUUGAGGCAGCAGAUGGGGCUUGUGGGGCAAGAACCUGUCUUAUUUAACGACACAAUCCGUGCCAACAUUGCAUAUGGAAAGGAUGGUGAUGCAACUGAGGCAGAAAUCAUAGCUGCGUCGGAGUUGGCCAAUGCACACAAAUUUAUUAGUAGCUUGAAUCAGGUUAGAACAUUUAAAAAGUUAAUAAUUUUUUUUGGGUAGUUUAUAACAAGAUUGUUUCAAAACUAAUCCGAAUGCGUUGUGUAGGGGUAUGACACGGCAGUAGGAGAACGAGGAAUACAAUUAUCUGGGGGGCAGAAGCAACGCGUAGCCAUUGCACGUGCAAUAAUCAAGAGCCCCAAGAUAUUACUGUUGGACGAAGCUACAAGUGCACUUGAUGCUGAAUCUGAGAGAGUGGUUCAAGAUGCAUUAGACAGGGUGAUGGUAAACCGAACAACAGUAGUGGUUGCUCAUCGACUAUCGACAAUCAAGAAUGCUGAUGUGAUCGCGGUGGUUAAAAACGGAGUGAUCGUAGAAAAAGGAAAGCAUGAUAAGCUGAUCAAUAUUACAGAUGGAUUUUAUGCAUCCUUGGUUGCUCUGCACAUGAGCGCUUCAACUGCAUGAGCUCCUUUCUUGUACACUUUUCUUCUUCUUUCUUCUACAUUUUUCUCACCAAACACUAAAGAGAAAAAUGGCAUUGCCACGCCACCUAUCCGAAUGGGCAAAUAGUACAGAAAUGCGUAAUAUGGUUGUAUUUAUUUCUCGUUCUUUCCUUUUUGCCUUCUUGUUUUUAUUUCAUGUUUUUUGUGGUUCCAAUCCUUCAUGUAGUAGUCAAUGUUAGUAGAUGAAUAAGAAAGUACUAUUAGCUCGUAGAAGAUGGCUUUCGUUUUGUUGGUGAGCUUGUCUGAAAAGAAAGUAGUACCACAAUUUUUUUACAUUAUUUCAAUUCUAAGUGUGUUUUUUCAUCUCAAAUUCUGACCAUAUAUUUUGAGAGGAAUUUCAAGUUAGUUUGACGAAUUCAACAUGUGUACCGAGAAACAAACUUUGUUGUCAAUGCUCAACUAAGCUAAAUAGUAGCCUUACUUUUGUAUUUAAUUUUGUAAUUUUAUUAGAAUUGUGAUGGAUGUUCAUAUUAUUGCGCAUAAAAAAAUUGUUUUUUUGUCCUAAAAUAAUAAAUAUGCAAGUGAAGUUUUGUAAAUAUCCUGCCCACGUACGUAAUUGAGUAUUUCUUUAUGCAAUGAUGCAAUGUUAGUUAGUAUUUUCGUAAGGAUCCAAGGUUUUUUUUUUUUUUUUGGGAAAAUAAGGAUCCAAGUUUUACAUUAAUUAAUCACCUAAUCUGCUUGUCUAGGUCAAACAUUUUGGUAAUCUUUGAAGAUUUAACACCUGUAGAAAUUUUUAGUUGUGAAGGGAAUACAAGUAGUACAUGAUACAUCACAUGUUUUAAUAGGAAUUGUAGGAAAUUUUAAUUUUUAAGUUAUUAACAUUUUAGCACACAUAUCUCAUCAUUUUUUUAGUGACACGUGAUAUACUAUCCCGUGUACCGGUCUCAUUGAAAAAUAUCUCCAACACCUGAAACUUGCAUGCAAUCCGUGGUCAAUAUUAAAAUGGGGCAUCGUCACCCGUGACAACUUCAAACAAUGAUUAUUACCAAUUAAUUAAUUCACUCAUGCGUCCGGGUCGUGAUGAUUAGACAAUUACCAACCAGGGUUGGUAAGACCGUGAGAGGAUGAUCUUGACAAUUUUUUUAAUUUCUUUUAUAUAUAAUAUAUGAGUAAAUUGUACAAAAUUAUCAUAAUUAGGGUCGUAUUAUAAUUUUUUUUCUUUAUAUAUUAUGUUUUAAACAUUACAAUAUUAUACUUUAAUUUAUAAAUUUAUUGCAAUGUCAGACGUUCAUUAAGGGUGCGUUUGGUACGCGGGACGGGACGGGACGGAACGGGACGAAGCGUUCCGUCCCGCGUUUGGUGCGCUAAAAAUGGGUGGAACGGGCUGUUCCACGGGACAGAUUUUGGGUGUUUUUGCGUUCCACCUCCCCCCCUGGAACGGGUUUGUUCCACGUAUGUGGAACACAAUGUUUUACCAUUUUAAGACAAAUAUACCCCAUGUCUUUUUCAAAAAUUACACCUUCGUUCCGUCCCGUUCCGUCCCGUUCCGUCCCGUCCCGUCCCGUCCCGUCCCGUCCCGUCUGCGUACCAAACGCACCCUAAGGGUGCGUUUGGUACGCAGAUGGGACGGAACGGGACGGGACGGAAUGAAGGUGUAAUUUUUGAAAAAGACAUGGGGUAUAUUUGUCUUAAAAUGGUAAAACAUUGUGUUCCACAGACGUGGAACAAACCCGUUCCAGGGGGGAGGUGGGACGCAAAAACACCCAAAAUCUGUCCCGUGGAACAGCCCGUUCCACCCAUUUUUGGCGCACCAAACGCGGGACGGAACGCCUCGUUCCGUUCCGUCCCGUCCCGUCCCACGUACCAAACGCACCCUAAUUACCUUUUCAAAUCUUGACUUCGUUCGCAUCGAGAUAAUUAAUUUUAUUUAUAGCAAUUGCACCUCAUUAUAUAACAAGGGUUACAUAAGUUGGUAAAGUCUUAUCUUUGGAGGUCUAAUUCAUUAAUUAAACAUCAUUUAGGUCACUGGCCGUUAAGUAAUGAUUUUACCAACUUAAGUGAUCAUGUUAUUAGAAUUAAAAGAUGAUGUGGACAAAUAUUAAAAUUGGUUUUUACUAAUUGUCAUCUUUGGAGGUCUAAUUCUCCAAAUCAACCCAUUUUAGCAAAGCUAAACCAUACAUUUGCUUGACUAAAUUGCGUUAACUUGGAGAUUCAAAGUUUCAUAUAUGACUUAAGAGUUAAAAGGCGCUUUAAUAUUUAGAAAACUAGAUUUUAAUCCCUAAAUAAGAUGAAGUUUAGAAAAAUGUCUUAUACAAGAUUAAAAAUUGAUUUUAGUCCCUAGACUCUAUUUAAUGCUAGCAUAUGUAUUCAAUGUCUCUUUUUUUAUUUAUAAUUUUAUGAAUUUAAAUUUUAUGAAAAUAUUAUAAAUUUUAAUUCUCAUUAUGGUAAGCAUCUUAUACAAGAAAAUAUUUUCGUAGAGAUUUUUCAGUACACUUAUGUUUUUGAAUAUUUUCUUAUCUGCCACUAAUUCAAUACAAUAUAUGUAGGUACAAACAUUUCGGUACACUGGGUUAGUAUAAUAUGUUUAGGUACGGACAUUUCGAUACACUAGUUUGGUAUAAUAUAUUUAGGCAUGGACAUUUCGGUACACUAGUUUUGUAUCAUAUAGUUAGGAACAUAAUUUUUGGUACACUUAUGUUUUUACAAAUUUUCUUAUGUGUCACUGAUUCACUAUAAUAUAUUUAGGUACGGGCAUUUCGGUACACUAAUUUAGUAAAAUAUAUUAUGAUACGGACGUUUAGGUACACUAAUUAGAGAAAGUUAAAUAAAGUUAAUUAAUUAAAAUGUGUAUAAUAAUCAAUUUAAUAACAUUAAAUAAGUUAUCUAUUAAAUACAAAAACAAAAAUAUAAUAUGAAUUUGAAUUAAGUACACAUUAAGGGACUAAAAUCAAUAUUCAAUCUAACACCAGGUUUUAUUAAAUGUUAAUCUUCUUGAAGGAUUAAAGUUCAAAAACCUCUUUAAUAUUUGCCCAUGUCAUCACUUAACGCUAGUAAACCUAUCAUAUGUCUUUUUUUGAUAAAAUAUCGAUAGCUUUCAUUCAUUGGAAAAGUUACAAUCAGUUCAGUUACAUGAAAGACUCCUCAAAAAGUAAGUUAGAAAUAAUGUCCGCGGGUUCAUCGAACCAAUUACAAUUUGAGCCAGUCAAGAGAGCAAUGCGUGCUAGGCGGUGGGUUGCAUUGUUAGCAUGACGACAAACAUGGGUAGGAUGAACUCCAGUAAUCGUAGACACUGAGAGACACUGAGAAGGGUCAUGAAGGCCAGUCACAAUCUAGAGUGAGUCGUUAUCAGAUGUCUAAUUUCAAAAUAAUAGAUCAUUAUUUGAAAUGUUUCGAAAAGUUAUGACCAAUUUGAAACCAUCCUUAAAAGUAAAAUAGUUUAACUCUAUUGUUUGUGAACUUAUGAGUCUGUGCAUAUCUAACCAAAUGUUUCUCAAUCUUUGCCAUUAGUGGUACCCACACAACGUGACGCUCGACUUGUAUUAGACUGAAAAAGAGUCCAAAUCUGUUCUUUAUAUCUUUAAGUAAGAAAAAUCUUUUGGAUACUCUCUAUAUAUAGGGCUACAAAUCUUUUGGACACACGAUUUAACAUAGAUAUUGACACGUUUUUAUAGUACCCAUUCUGAAUUUCAACAAUUCAAUUAUUUAUUUUUUGUGUGUUAUUUCAAAGAUUAUGUCUAUAAAAAAUCACCUCAAUUUGAAACUUUAUACCCAUUGGAAUAAAUUUAAUGUUUCUUUGUAGAAUCAUAUCUAUUUAUUUUCUUCACUACAAAUGAAUAUCUUAGUUGUUUUGGAUUUGUUUACUUUUUUUGCACGGAUAAUAUUGUUGGAGAGUUGACCUUUGUAAUUAGCUUAGUUACCUGUUUGGGUCCUUGUAAUCAGGAUGUAAUUAGGAUAGAUAUUAUUUGGUGUUUCUUUCCUUGUAAAUCAAUCUUAUACAAUAUAUAUAUCCCUCCUUGGUGAGAAGAAUAACAUCAGAAAAUUAAACCCCAAAAUAAGCCCUAAUUAGCAUGGUAUUAGAGCAGAGAUCCUAGGAUUUCUGCUCUGCCCGUUCCCUCAAGCAAACUCGGCCCUCCCAUGGAGAACCUACCACCACUCCACGAUGGAAACAAUUUCAUCCUAACCAAUCCUACCCCUAUACUAAACACUACAACCCUAAACACUACUACCCUAACUGGCCCUACCAUGAAUCCUCAUGUUUCGAGUUCUUCCGAUAUGCCUUCGGAGUCCUUAGGUAAUUGUGGUUAUACUUUUAAUAUGAAUAAUUGUGAUACUUAGUCCGAUUGGAUCAUUGACUCCGGUGCCACAGACCAUAUGACCUAUGACCCCACUGAUUUAGCUUGUGAUAUUGUUCCACGUCGACAAAAUAUUACUAAUGCUAAUGGUGUCACCUCACCGGUAAUUGGCGUUGGCACUGUACACCUCACGCCUACCCUCUCUUUGCCGCAUACACUACUUGUACCUUCACUAAAGCAUAAAUUGAUGUCUCCUGGCCAAGCUAUUGAGUAAUUGAACUGUUGUGUACUAUUGUAUUCAAAGUUUUGUCUUAUUUAGGAUAUUCUCACGAAGGAGAUAAUUGGUUGUGGUACUAAAAAGGGGGAUCUUUAUUUUGUGGACAAUGUCAGUACAGGACGGGUCAAUCUCGCCCAAGGAGCCAUUGAUCACAAACGGCAUCAGAUAUGGUUAUGGCAUCACCGUUUGGGUCAUCCCUCUUUCAGUUAUUUACAGUAUAUGUUUCCACAUUUAUUUGUUGGUUGUUCGGUUUCAAACUUUAAAUGUGACACUUACGUACUUGCCAAGAGUCACCGUGUUUCUUAUCCGUUGAAUUCUAAUAAAAGUGUUAUUCCUUUUGGUUUUGUUCAUUCAGAUGUUUGGGGACCAUCUCCGAUUACUACUUCAUCUGGUAUUAGGUGGUUUGUAACUUUCAUAGAUGAUUGCACACGGAUGACAUGGUUAUACCUUCUUAAGCAUAAAAGUGAUGUGUUUUUGGCGUUUAAGACAUUCCACACUAUGGUUCAGACAAUUUUCUACUAAAAUCAGGAUUUUGCAUUUUGAUAAUGGUGGUGAAUAUGUUAAUAAUGAUAUUACACAUUAUUUAACUAAUCACGGAAUACUCCACGAGACUACUUGUCCUCAGACUCCUCAACAGAAUGGGGUGGCUGAGCGCAAAAAUCGCCAUAUAUUAGAAACGGCUCGAUCACUAUUGAUUGGGGCGGAUGUUCCCUACUCCUCUUGGGAUGCUGCUUUUCAGACUGCCACUUACCUUAUCAACUGCAUGCCAUCCAAAGUAUUGAAUUUUCUUACACCUUUGGAAGUUCUUGCUACAUUCGUUCCUCUACUGUUCGUUUUGGUGCUCCCGUUUUUGGAUGUGUUGCCUUUGUUCAUCUACAUAAAAAUCAACGGACAAAACUUGACCCAUGUGCUCUCCAUUGCGUUUUCAUGGGGUAUAGACUACAUUAGAAAGGGUACCGUUGCUACCACCCUCCUUCACGUUGGAUGUAUACUACUAUAGAUGUUACUUUUUUCUGAGUCUGAGAUGUAUUACUCUCCGACUUCUUCCAACCCUCUUUUUAAGGGGAUACACAGCAUGACGAAUAGGUUUGGACCAUGGUUGCUACUACUGAUCUUCCGCUGCCACUAUUAGCCGAGCCCGCAGUGGCUGCGGUGCCAGCCCAGCCAACAGAAGCAGCAUCACUGCCCACAGAACCAGCGGCAGGCACGACAGUGCCGUCCUCACCCACGGCAACAGUGCUGCCACUUGUCGAUCUUGAGACUUCUACUGAUACUACUCCCCCUUGUCUCAAAAUAUAGUACCGCCAGAUGACCAUACUCUAGAGAAUAUUCCUGAGGUAAGAUCUAUUAUCCCUAUUGAUGUAUCCGAUAUUCUGAAUUAUCAGUUACCUUUCAGGCAUAACCAGGGAAAGCCACCCUAUCGAUAUUCGCCGGAAACAACGAAAGGCUCUAAAUAUCCCAUUGCCAACUAUGUGUCAUCACAUAAAUUAUUAGAACCCGGCAAAACUUUUGUAUAACAAAUAUCCAAUGAUAGCACACCAAGUUCAUUGAAGGAGGCACUAUCUGAUGAUCAAUGGACCAAAGCAACGGAGGAAGAAAUGGAUGCACUUCAGAAAAAUUAAACAUGGGAUUUAGUUUUGCUACCCCGACGAAAGAAAAGAGUGGGACGUCGAUGGGUGUACACCAGCAAGUACAAAGCUAAUAGGUCAAUUGAACAAUACAAAGCAUGAUUGGUGGCCAAGUGAUACACUCAGAUGUAUGGUGUUGAUUAUACAGAAACAUUUGCUCCAGUAGCAAAGAUUAAUAUAGUAAGAGUGUUACUUUCGUUGGCGACUAACUUGGAUUGGCCAUUACAACAAUUUGAUGUGAACAAUGCUUUCUUACAUGGUAAUCUUACAGAAGAAGUGUAUAUGGAUAUUCCACCUGGUUAUGCAUCGGUUUCACAACCUGGAAUGGUGUGUAAGUUGAAUAUGGCAUUGUAUGGAUUGAAACAAUCACCUCGGGCAUGGUUUGGUAGGUUCCGGACGGCUAUGAGGAAGUAUGGAUUCAGGCAGAGCAAUUUCGAUCAUACACUUUUCUUGAAAUGUCGAAUGGGUAAAUUGACGGCACUUAUUAUUUAUGUGGAUGAUAUGAUUGUUACAGGUGAUGAUAAAGAGGAAAUCUCAAGCCUGAAAAAUUACUUAGCAAUUGAGUUCGAGAUAAGAGAUCUUGGUGAAUUGAAAUAUUUCUUGGGUAUAUAAGUAGCUCAAUCUAAACAGGGUAUAUUUCUAUCUCAAAGAAAAUAUGUUCUUGACUUGUUAGCCGAAACCGAAAUGCUUGAGUGUAAAUCGGUUGACACCCCUAUAGUCCAAAAUCACCAGCUUACCGUGCACCCUGAUCAAGUUCCCAUUAACCGAGAUCGUUAUCAAAGGUUAGUUGGGAGGUUAAUUUAUUUAUCUCAUACCAGGCCUGAUAUUGCAUAUGCAGUAAGUGUUGUUAGUCAAUUUAUGCAUUCCCCGAGUGAUAUGCAUAUGGGUGCGGUUGAACGCAUUCUACGACACCUAAAGUCCGCCCCAGGUAGAGACAUCAUGUUUUCUAAGAAUGGUCAUUGCCGGAUAGAAGGUUAUACCGAUGCAGAUUGGGCAUGGAAUAUUACUGAUCGACGGUCCACAUCGGGUUACUUUACAUUUAUGAGGGGAAAUUUAGUGACUUGGCGGAGUAAGAAACAGAAAGUGGUUGCUUUAUCAAGUGCAGAGGUGGAAUACAAAGGUAUGGCAAAAGGAGUAUGUGAAUUAUUAUGGCUUCAGAGGUUACUUGAAGAACUCGGGUGUCCUUCAAUUUCGGCUUUGAAUUUGUUUUGUGAUAAUAAAGCAGCGAUUGAUAUCUCACACAACCCAAUCCAGCAUGAUCGCACGAAACAUAUGGAAGUUGAUAGACACUUCAUUAAGGAGAAGUUGGAUGGGAAUAUUAUUCAAUUUCCAUUCGUAAAGUCAGAGGAUCAAUUAGCGGACAUCUUAACUAAUUAAAGUUGUUGCCUGUCAAGCGUUCUACAACUCUCUUGUCAAGUUGGGCAUGAACGACAUUUAUGCACCAACUUGAGGGGGAGUAUUGGAGAGUUGACCUUUGUAACUAGCUUAAUUACCUAUUUGGGUCCUUGUAAUCAGGAUGUAAUUAGGAUAGAUAUUAUUUGGUGUUUCUUUCCUUGUAAAUCAAUCUUGUACAAUAUAUAUUUCCCUCCUUAGUGAGAAGAAUAACAUCAGAAAAUUAAACCCCAAAAUAAGCCCUAAUUAGCAAAUAUAUGAUUGAUGUACUAAAAUAUAGACAAUUCGAAUCAUUAAAAUACAUUACGAAGUGAGCCUUAGAAAUUUUUUGUCAAGAUACGGGUAAAAAAAGUGGGUCCCCGAAUCAUAACCCACCCAUAUAUAUGUCUUGGCAAGAUUUUUGGUCACAUAAUCAACCCAUUGUUUCAUUGCACCAAUACAUUUUAAAAACUAAGUUAGAUUUACGCUUCAAAGUAGUCUUCAUGCGCUUCUCACAGUCCUCUUAUGUUGAAAAUAGGAAAUAGUACAAGAUGACUUUUAACUUUGCAGUGGUACUAUGAAUAAAAUGUAUUUUAAAAAUCUGCACAAAAUGCAACAAUAGCAUCCACAGUCCUUGCCAAAGGCGUAUGUAUGUAUAUACUGAACAAAGGGGGCACAGGAACACAAAGUUUAACUAAGCAUAUGUAUGAUCAAUCCUUUUUUCAAAGAUCAAAACAGACAGAAACCCUUCUACCAAAUAUGACCCAAAAGAAGAAAUAUAUCUGCACCUAUCCUUGUAAAGCAGUAGAGAAAAGUAGCAUUCUUGUUUUAGUAUUGUAAUACAAGUCGUUCUUCAUCAAACGAGGUCUGUCCAAAUAAAGUACAUCUUGAUUACAAGAUUUCUCUACAAACUUUGACAGAGACUCCCAGAACGGAAGGAAUCAUAUUGCAAACAUUCCCGAAUAGAAGAAUGCUUCUAUAGUUUAGUCCGAUGCUUGUCACUUCCCUACAAUCUCUCAUAGCCAUUUGCUAGGGAUCCUAAAUUCAGGAGGAGCACCCACGCCACCAUGUUUAAAUGGGUUACCAUGGACCAGCACAAAUAUCCAAGAAUCUCUAUGCUCUUCUUGCAUUUUUAGCAGCAACAGUAAUAUUUAAGCAACAUAAUUGAACUUUUAUAUCCUAUCAUUUUCUAUGGAUAAAUAGCUAAUCAAUUCAACCUUAUGGUAAGGUAAGACUAUCAAUUCUACUUUGAAAAAAAUUAUUUACGCAACAGUAAAAGUAUAAUCCAUACUGUUAUCCAAGCAAUCCAUACAUUUUAAAUAAAGGGAAAACUAAUGAAAAGGGCUUUUCGUUAAAGUUCCCUAAAAAAAACCGUCACGCAAUUUCACAAUAAUUCUCACUUGAAUUGAGGGACUCUAUUUGAGGUUUAAGCAAACAUCAAUUUUUUUUCCCCUCAGAUUCCUUUAGUUGGCAUUCUUUUUUCUCUUUUCCGCCCAAAGGUAGCAUAGGGUUAAAUGUAAUGGGAGCCAUCACCAAACAAAAAUAUUACUGGGUCCAAGGAAAUCACCUCACAAGACCCCUCCCCUCCUUAAUAAGUGCUGGCCCUGCAAUUAUUUCACUUAUAAAGCAUUGAACUAGAUAGCUGAGCAUGCCGCAUCGCAGAUGAUAUUAUAAAUCAAUAUUGUUCAAGUCAUAAGGUGACCAAGUGAUGCAUGGUCAUUUACCCUUAGAUUUGAUAUCAAGGGUUGAGUCUUUUUUUUUUGGUUCAAAUAUUAAGGGUUGACUUUAGAGCAUCUUCAAAGGAGGUGUCAAAUUUUGAACAUAAAAUUUAAGUUUGACAGCUUACGUGAUAUUUUGUGUCACAUCCCGGCCCGGGCCCCCACCACAUAUCUGGCUUAACUCCAUCGUAGCACGAUAUUGUUAGCUUUGGGCCCCCACCACGCCAUCACGAUUUUAUUUUUGGGAACUCAUACAAGAACUUCCCAGUGGGUCAUCCAUUCUGAGAUUGCUCCUGUGCGAACUUGCUUAACUUCGGAGUUUGAUGGAAUCCGAAGCCAGUGAGCUCCCAAAAGGCCUCGUGCUAGGUAGAGAUGAGAAUAUACAUAUAAGGCUUACAAGAUCCAUUCCCCUGGAUGAUGUAGGUUGUUACAUUUUGACACUUUUUUUUUAAGUUUUACUCUCCACCCUAUAUAUCAAAUUAAAUUAUUAUUUUAUUAUAUUACAAAAUAAAUUAUUAAAUCAAUAAAAAAAUUAAUUAAAGACAUUUAAUACUUGUUAAAUCGGGACCGUUCAUCAAAUGAACAAAAGAGACAUGAAUGCAUCGGUCACACUGCAUUCAUUAUAAUAAAAAAUUAAUAAAAACAAUUAAUAUGUUGUAAACAUUCCUAGUUUAAGUAUGAUUGUGUAAGUCCUAGAUAAGAUUUGAUUCUAGUUAUCAUUUCCUAUUACAAUUUGUAUUACUUGGAGGAGAAGGAAUAUCUUCUCUCCCUUUACUACUAUAAAUAAAGGCACAAUGUAGGAGGGAUAACAACACACACAUUCCCCUACAAUUCUACAAACACACAUCUUUCUCCUCUCUCUCUCUGCCGCCGGCCCUAGUCCCUCUGUCAGAUAAAAUAGACCACAACACGUUAUCAGCACGCUCCUACCGCUACGCUUAGGAAUCUGACGUUGGAGAUUUUUUUUUUCUGCAUCAAACCAGUUCAUCCAUAUCAUCACGGCUUUUAACUCGAUAUUUUGCAAGCCCUGAUAGCAUGAACAUUCACCAUGAUGCAUGACCCAACUUUACGUUUUACGUAUUUUAGAUUCUACGUAAAUUGUGUAUGCUUCAUAAUCAAAAUUGCUACAAUUAUGUGAAUUUGAUAUUUGUCAUGAAUUGAAUCUUACAUAUGUACAUGCAUUGAAACUAUUAUUUGCAUAUGCAUCAACGUAAAUAUGUGAUUCAUUAAAAUUAUACAUGCAUAUAAUAUAAUUGAAUUGAGAAAAAAAAAACAAAAACAAAACAUUUUUUUUUGCGAUUGGGAUAUGAGUUCUUUCGAACCCGUGACCACCAUCCUGCAGAUGGGGUAUCACACGCAAAUCAGAGAGCAUUCAGCUCUCCUUGUUCCCAGAAACCCACGGAGCCAAGCCCCAAAAACCCAAAAUCCCGACACCCUUCAUGGUGUCCCCCGAUCAUGGAGUGGCCUACAGCCACAACCACGAACCUAUUGGUUCUUGCUAUAAACGACCUGAAGUCGUCCUAUGUCGGUAAUUGAACCGAGAUUCACCGGAAUCUCGUCGGAAUUUUUUUUGAAAAAUUCGAUUUCAAUUUUUUUUAGGGUUUUAUAGUUGUUGAAACGUUGAGAUUUUCUUAUCUCCGUGAUUGUCCACGACAACCAUGACUCACCCCAAGUCCCAACAACCCCGACGCCGUCAAAAUUUUCCGGUUUUCUUCUUCGGCAUCGCACACCCAGCACGGCUGGGAUUUCUUUUGGGUCUCUUUCCCGAACCCUACUCGGGCUCUGUCUCUCGGCCUGUGUAACAAAAGAAAAAAACAAUUUUUUUUGCUGAGCUCGCUUGCAGCGGCCCAGCCCACAAAGAAAACAAUUUUUUUUUUUUUUUUCCUGGGCUCGCCUGCAGCGGCCCAUACCGAAAAAAGAGAAAUUUUUUUUAGGGCUGCACACAGCAGCCCAUUCCCUUCUCACCCCGUGGGCCUGCAGCCUACACCCGGGGGUCCUCGGUGUGACAACCCGUCCCUAAUUUUAAGAAUUUUUAAAGUUUGAAGUUUGGACAUUUUAUGAUUUUUAUUAUUAAAAUUUGGAUGGCCCAGAUUUAAGGAUUUUGAAAUGGAUGGCUUAGAUGUAAGAGAAAGAAAAUAAAAAUAAAAUUAGGAAAGAAGGUUUUAUGUGUGUGUGUACGUGAAGAAGAAGAAGAAGAAGAAGAAGAAGAUUUAGGACUGGGCAAAAACUGCCCAACCAGAAGAAGAGAGAGCCAGAGCUCCGGGAGAGAAAGGAGGGAGUCCAGCGAAUCAAGGGAAGAGAGAGGAAGGGCUGGCCAACCAGGAACCAGGAAAGGAGGAAAGGAGAGAAGGCGAGAAGCGGAGGAAGAAGAACAGAAAUGGGUCACAACCCGCGACCCGGUGGGUUUUCCACCCAUUUUCGUCGAAAUUUCUUCAUUUUUCCAGCGAAUUGGAUCAAGGUACCACUCCCAAUCAACAUCUAGGCCUUCCCUUUUUACGUUUUACCCCAAGAAUCAUUGAAUUUUGUUGUGAUUUCGCGAAGAACACCCAUACGGGUGCCGCGACCCUUUUGUUCAAAUUCUCCAAAUUUUGAAAUGUUUUCUUUCAAUUACUAACACCUUUAGCAUUCCUUUAGGACCUAGAACAAAGCCCAAGAGGUAAUUGAGGCGUUGGAACAAGUUUGAAGGUCGAAUUGGAAACACCCAAAUUCUAGGGUUCUUCACGGUUUUGGUGAAAUUGAAGCACUUCCAGGCCAAAUUGGCCUUGGUCUCAGGUAUGAAAGUUGUUCUACUCAUUGAGAUCUUCAAAUCUGCAAAUUUUGGUAAUUUUUGGAAAUAGUUGAAUUUUCCGGCGAGCCGGGGGCGGCCAACCGCCACCCGCGGCGGCCCGCGCGGCGGCGCGUGGCCAAUGGCCGCCAAUGUCAUUAUUAGCUUGUGAUUAAGGUUCUAGGUUCUGUUUGAUAAUUGAUGGACGUAAAUUGAAUAAUUGAACCUAAGUUGGUUACGAUUCGUGAUUAGGUGAAAAUGUGAAUUGACGAUCCGACCGUUGGAUCGUCAUCAAACUUUGAUACGUUGUAAUACAUAAUAUUUGAGGACUAUAGGAACUUACGGAUUGGGAAUCCAAUUUACGGAUCUUCCGGAAUUGAAGUUGUAAGUUCAAAAAAUAGAAUGUUAACCGUCACUUAGUUUUGGAAAUUGACGGAGAUCCGACCGUUGGAUGGUAAUGAAAUUUUAGGAUGUUGUCCUAGAGGUAUAUUGUGGACCUCUGGAAGUUACGGAUUUGAAAUCUGAAUUGCAGAUCAUCCGGAUCGAACUACGUAGUGACGUGUCUUAUAUAAGUUAUGUAUUCUAUCGGCAGAAUUUCUAAGGUUGGAUUUGAUUGUUGUUCUAGGCGCUAAUCGUCAUAACGCCUUGAUGUACGGUGCUAGGGAGUUGUGGGCGAACUCCAGGUGAGUGGGCAGUUUUGUUUUCCGUAUAUAUAUGUACUUGACGUUUUCCCAGAAAUUGAAAUUUAAUGAAAAAUGUGAUUUGAAAUGCCAUGCAUAGAAAUGAUAUGAAAAGUAUAUAGAAAUGUGAAUUGAAUUGCCAUGCAUGAAAUGAUAUGAAAAAUAUGAAUUGAGAUAUGAUGCAUAUGUAUGAAUUGGUACUGUGGACGCACAGAUGAGUAUCAGGUGAGUAUUAUUACUACUAUGAUGAUGUUGAGAUAUAUUGAGCUCAUAACCUGCACCUUGGUAUUAGUGCUUAUUACUAUUCACCGCAUCGCACGCUCGCCUUGGAUCCAAGUAGAUGCUAGUCGUACAGACCACUAGAGGUGGUUCCGACAUGCCAGUCGUACAGACCAUUAGAGGGGUUCCGACUGGUAGGUGAUCUUAGAUUAUGUGCACAGAUGAUUGAUGAGAGAAGCACUAGAGCGUAAUAGUAACCAUUAAGUCGUACAGACUACAUUAGGUGGUUCCGACUUAUGUGCAGUGUAGGCCGUACAGGUCACAGUAGGUGACUCCGGCAAGGGCCGUACAGGUCACAGUUGGUGACUCCGGCUAGAUGAUAUUUUGAGCUCUAGAUUCAACCGUACAUGACCAUUGUAGGGUCUUCGGUUGAUUACUUCUUGCACCUGAUAUAAUUAUUGUUGAUGCAUUCAUACUUAACUGUUGAAUUCCGACAUGGCAUGGCAUAUUUGUACUGAAAAAAUGUUGAGCUAAUGAAUUGAAGUAUUGAGAAUAUAUAUGUAUAUUUAUAUUUUACAUUUAUGGGAAAGUAUACAGGUUUUACGGAGAGGGGUUACAACGUUUUGAGAAAUGUUGAAUUUGGAAAAGAAUUGUUUUACUGACCCACUCAAUUUUGGUUUUGCGCCCCUCCAGGUUCAGGAAUCACAAAGGUGUGGUGACUACGAGGAAUUCGACGGUGUUCUGACAGAUUGGACAAAAUUAGGACUCACCUUCGGGUGUAUCAACUUAUAAAUUGUAUCUUAAAGCUUCCGUACUGUGCAAAUGGUUACGUCACUCUCACGUGACGGCCAGCAUGCCCUCAUUCGGGAAGGGGUGUGUCAGUUGGUAUCAGAGCAGGGUUGCAAUCUUGGACAUUUUGAGAAGUUCUAGUGAAUUCUGUCAGAACUACACCGCCUCGUAGCAAGCCACUUAGUUAGAGGAAUUUAGUCUCCCUAAUAUAGCGGUUUAGGGGAAACUAUUAUUAUGGUGAUUCAGUCUAUUAUAAAAAAGGACAUUUUAAGACGGGAUAUGAGUCGAAUUUGAAUCACCUUAUGAAAUGUUAAAUUUAGGGAGCGAAGUAACGGUUUAACCAUUUGGAAAAGAUGUUUCAGAUUAUGCAAGUCAAAGGAAAUUUCCUUCUGACAAGGGGUCGAGACGACUACCUGGUUUUGGUUAUGAAUUUGUAUCCUGGUGGAAACAGGAGUAUGAUUUGUUGUCACCGGAGGAACAGUCGAUUGAGAAUUGUUUAAGGACUUGUUUAAGGAAAAGUUUAUCCCUCCGGCAUUUAUCGAUGGUAGUAAGCAAUAGUUUGCAAAUGUGAAUCAAGGAAGUUGACGAUAAAUGAAUAUUAUAGAAAGUUUUCAGACUAGCCUCGUUUCCAUUCAGAUAUUACUGCCAUUUUGGUGGAGGUGUUAUGUUGUUUUAAGCUGGGUGGCAAAAAGGGAAGUGGUAUUUUGGGUGACCACUAUCCAUUGUAUUUCUUACCAAGAGUAUACAAGAUGUUGUUGAGCCUUGAGGACUCUAAGAAUAUGAUCAGCUAGAGUGAAAAGGAAUAAGAAAAGAAUGGGAAUUAAAAGAAGACGAUAAAGUUAAUGAUUCGUCAUAUCAAGAAUAUCGAAAGACUUAGAGCUUCAAAAGAAGUGAAGUUAGAGCUAAUUUUUCCAGCUGAGGUUUUAAUGCCACUGGUCAGAGUCAAAGUGAUAGAAUUGCUGGUAAUCCCAGAUUUCAGAGACAAGGUGAUUUGAAUAAAGGAAAGGUACCUUUGUGCAGCAGGUACAAAAUUAACACUUUGGGAAGUGUGAAAUUAAUGAAUGUGUUUAUGUGAACAGAGGAGACACAAAAUUGUGAAUUGUCCCUAAAAAUUAGUUAUUACCCAGCAGUCUUCCCUGAUACCACCAGUAUCAGUCCAGCAGGUGUUUGGAUCAUUAGUUUGGGUCAUAUGGACUGUGGGUACAAGGAUGUUGGAUGAGUUAAAUGUUCAGCCGUACAGGCCAUCAGAGGUGGAUCCGGCUGACACAUGAGAAAUUGGUGAGUUAUAGGCUCGGCUGUACAGACCACAAGAUGUGGAUCCGGCCGACGUAUUUACUGGGGAAUUGACGUGUAAGUCGCACAGGUCACUAUAAGUGACUCCGACUAAUGUGCUAGCAUAGAUGGUUGAGCUAGAGAAUCAGCCGUACAGGUCAUUCUAGUUGACUCCGGCUGAUAUAUUUCUGAGUAUGGACGAUGAUGCCAAAGAAAGUAAUGUUGGAACGUGAUAGAGGCGUAUAUGUGUAUUCUAAUGAAGAACAAAAUGAUAGUAUUACACCUUUGGGAAUUGUUGCCUACUUAUCGAGACAACGAUGAUUUAUCAGUAUUGCGGGCUGCAGACCGUAAUAUUAAUAACUCAUUCGUGGAUUCGUUAAGCAAGCAAACCAGUAGGUUAUUUUAUGUUAGUGUUGUACUUAUUUAGAAUGUUCAGUAUUAAUAAAGUAUGUAUUGUGUCGGUUAAAUUAUUUCUAUUAGAUUGGUUGGUUAUAAUUGUGACUAAAUGGAUUGUUACGGGAAACCAGUCACUUUCCAUCGAUCUGGAUGACCAUAGAUUACUUUUGUAAGUAUGCAAAGUGGAUUGAGUCAGGCCGUUAUUUAUGCUGUGAGAGCAAAGAGAUUGUUUUCGAAAGGCUGUCAAAAAAAAAAUUCUUAGCUCAUGUGGUGCUAAAUGAUGUUGUUUGGAGUAGUGUGAAUAAUGUCAAAAGGGUUAGACUUUUCUUGAUGUCUUCCUUGAAAGUAUACCUGGAUUGCCUUCAGGCAGAGAUAUUAGGUUCACUAUUGAAUUGUUGCCAGG
rnacentral:lncRNA from 1 species